rnacentral:lncRNA from 1 species
UUUUUUUUUUUUUUUUUUGUGUUUGGGGGGGGGGGGGGGAGAGAGAGGGGGUAAUACAAUGAAUGGUUAGAUGGUGAUGCAUGGCUAGGGACAGAAAUAGAACUUCAUUUUUUCGAUUUUAAGUUGAAUCGAGCUGCGUUUAGCAUUGGAUAAUUCUGUGUUUUUUACUGUAGAUUGAGACCAAUUCUUGACCAUUUAAUUGACAAGCUGUUUGCAGUUGAAUGAAAUGAAAACCUAGAAAUCAACUGUAGCUGUCAAACUAGUUCAAACUCUAGAAAAUUUUGCUUCGAUUAAGGAUAAAUUACAAGUGAAGCUUUUAUUUAUUAUGAUCUGCAGAAUAUGCAAUUAGGUGAUGACAUUGACGACUUUGUCUCUCUUUCCAUUUUGCAGCCAUCAGCCAAUGCCAUGUGUGACACUUAAGUUCCUAAACUUAUAAAUACCUCCAAAUUAAGGAAAAUUGUUGAUAAAAUCCUGAAUGCCUUGGUGGUCAAAGUGUUCCAUUUUAUAAGUUUAGGGACUUAAGUGUCCCAUUUUGAAGUUUAGGGAUUGAAGUGGGUAAUCGUCCAAAGUUUGGGGGGACAAAGUGGAAUUAACCCUUAUUAUUAUGUGAAGUUGCUGCCAUUUCCCGUUUUGUUGCUUAAAUUUUUCCUAUUCAAAUCAGUCAAAUAUAACGAUUUCCUACUUAAAUCUUGAUUACGACUAAUCUGAACAACAAUUCUCCAGUAAUAAUCAUUACCUAUUACAGCAUGCGUUUGUCCGAAAAAAGAAACAGAAAAACUUUUGUUAAGAUGGUUUUUUGCCUAUCAACCUGGUAGCUUCUUAAUUUUUUUUUAAUUUAAUGAAAGCCCUGGUCCUUAUAAGGAGAAUAUAUAAGCAACAGAAGAAAAAUUUGAGGAUCAAAGAAUAGAACUACGGGUGUAAAUUAAUCAAGUUAUUUGCCUCGGGCUCGCAAGUAGUUCGAUCAAGUCCAAUUGAGUUCGAACUACUUGAUAACAUAAUCGAGUCGAGUUCGAAUAGAAAAAAUCAAAACUCGAAGACUCGUAGGGUCUUAUCCAAUAGUAUAUUUAUAAUACAAUUUUUAAUUAUUUAUUAUAAAAUCAUGAAAUUUACUAUAAAAAAUAAAAAUCAAGUUUGAACUAGGGCUCUGCAAACAAUUUUUAACAAUAUUCAUGAUUGACCCUCGCAUCUUUUCGUUCAAGAUUCCCAACCACCCACAUUUACGUUCUGAAGGCCUCAGGGGAAGCCAGGAAGAAUGAAAAAAAGCCCAUUAUGACCCAAUCCAGAAGGCAAAAGGCCCAAAAAGGUUUCCAACCACGCAAUCAUCUUACGAACGGGUCCAAUUGAAAUCCAACUAGCAACCCAACCCAUCUUGAUCGACGCUAUUUUGUUUUCUUUUAACUGUGGAAAGAAACACAAGCGUAAUAUGAAGGAAAAAAACGAAAAAAAAAAUAAAAACACAGUGAUCCACUCAUCUUCUUGGGUGGUCAUCUAAAUAAUCCUUUCUAUCAUUUAUUCUUUUACUCAUUGGGUGGUUACCUAUCCUCCAUCGUAUCUAUUUACUUUUUAUUGAUUAAUCCUACAUUUUAAAAAAUACGAUACCUAAAAUAUAUCUUAUAUCUUAACAAGUGACCAAUGGCACCCGUUAAACAAACACUUGUUAAAAUUAUAAAUCUCGAAAGUAAUAUUUAGAUAAAGAUAUUUUACAAAUAGAGCAAUUGCCAUAUCCAUUAGAGGGGGUUGCCUUUUGGGAGCAAUGCUGAUUUCUUUUUUCCUUGAUUAAUAUUAUGGCCAUCAUGUUACAAUUUGCAGGCAGUUCACCUCAUUUCAAAUAAAAUAUAAACUUUCAAGUGAUUGAUCUAAAAUUUGGAAGCCUCUCAUGAAACAUGAGGAGGAGUUCUAUUUAUUUUUCAAACAAGCAAGCAAUUUUUUCACAUUCAACAUUCGCAUUUACAUUUUGAAGCACUCAACUCUGCCCAAGUGCUAACAAAAGGAAACAAGAAAAAAAGGCAGAAGAUUGUCAUAUGAUCGAUCACCAGCUGAAACUGAUGGACUCGAAAUGCAAAUUAGCUCCCAAACCAGAAGAGCAUAUGUUUGCAACCUCAUGUCUCAUCUUCUUCGGUCCACAAACUAGAACUCCAACGCUGGAUUCUUUGCGCUCAAAAAGAAUUUCUGCGUCAGAACCAACCUUAAGAUAUCAAAACAUGCACGUAGAUUAUGUUGACCAAAAUCAAUGGGAACCUACAGUAAAUUUUGCUGAACGAUAAAUGGGCAGAAUAAUUAUUAACCUGCACUCAUCUAAUCACAUUUAUACUUAAAAAAAAAAAAUACAUGUAACACAAGAGUAGUGAGAUUUAAGAAGCGAAAAAAGAGGAAAGGAGCGAUUUGAAUUUAUGGCCUCUAAUUCCUACGGUUUCAGGCCAUGCGAUUUUUGUUCGCCAUAUAUAAGCUGUUAAUCAAACCCAUGUGUCAUGCUUUAGGAAUUUACCUGCACUAGUAUAAUAUAGUUAGUCAUAUUGCAAUUAGUUGACUUACUCUUUAGGUCUGGCCUUUCACCAUAGUGCAGAUUGGUAGAGAGGACCAGUGACUGCUGGGGUAAGCUUUCUAAUUCUCUGUCUGCAUUAUAGAACCAUGAGUUGGGUGACGCUACGGGAGUUGCCCCUUCCAGGUUCUGAAUCUGUUUGUUCUCCAUGGCAUUUUGUUUCUUGUUCCAGAGAAAAGCCGCGGUAGCUGCGAUGAUUAUAGAAAUGCACAUGAAAAGGAUAUUCAGCACAGCUCUAGAAGACCAUGAAUAGACAUCGUUGGUGUUGUGAUCAAUGGGAUAAAUGUAGAAUCUCGUAAGAAUCCCCAUGAAGAUAAGAUAGAUGAUAAAAGAUGCUGAUAUUAUUGCACCAAGCCAGAGCCAGCUGUUUUUGCCCAAGAUUGGAGCAACUGGUGAAUCUGAUGGCUUUGGUUUGAACCAGACGGUCCUGAGACUCUUCUUGCCUUCUGGUGCUGGUUGUUUUUCUCUCGUUACGUAAGCCUCAAUUUGUAAAGCGAAGUUGGAAAAUUCUGCCGGGGAACCAACAAUAGGGAGGAGCAGAUCUAGCAUGGUCAAGUCUGAAGAAUUCUUGAAUGAGGGGAUGAGGAGAAUUGAAGGAGUCUUGCAUUUCAGCGUCUCGCUUGCGUACAUAAGCUCACGAAUGAUGGAGAUGAAAGGAGUGAUUCCGCUGCCUCCACUCACCAUCACCAGCAAUUCAUGCCUGCAACCAACGGAAUAAGAAAUUAUAGGUAAAAAAAUCAAGUAGCGACAAGUGUCUUCAUUGGUCCGGAUGUACUUACAUUUUUCUUAGACACGGAACAGGAGUAAAGGACACUGUUUGUACCUUAGGAAAUCAGUUGAAGUUGGUCCAUAAGGUCCUUCAAUGGACACAUCAAGAUGAUCCACAGAAGAAGGGGAAGAAAGCAUCUCAUGGAGCUUCUUUGUCCAGCUCCCGUCACCUUUAAUGAUGACACUCAGCUUUUCAGGCUCCAAAUUACUGCUUGAAGUAAUUGUAAAAGGGUGCCACUGUAACUUCGAGAUGCUCGGUACAUUCAAGAACAAUAUGCUUGUUGGAGCAUAGCUAAGACCUGAUAAUAAGGGGGGAAAAAGUUAAAAAUCAUACUAAUUUCGCUUUCAUCAAUUUUAGAGGAUGCAAAGAAUCAAAAGAAAAAGGAAGAACGCGUAAUUACGAAUGGUUGCUCAUAAUGUCACGGCACCAAUUUUAGUUCCAUAACAUAUUUUCUAUGAAUGAACAAAUUCCUCUUAAAAAUAAACACAUCAUUUGGACAGUGAAGGCCAUCGUUGUCAUUCAGAAGAAACCUGAUGUAGAGCUGAAGUUCGUGAUCAUUUGCUAUCACCUAUCAUUUGGUUUUUUUCGUUUUUUUUUUUUUGUAAUUAAAAGUUUGGACAGAUUCAACUCUAUUCACCAUCAUGGAUCAGGGCAUACCCUUAAAACCAUACAUCGCUUAGAACAAUUCUUAUAGAUAGUCCACUAACAUAGUUCUCGCAUUCGCAGCAAAAUUCAAAUAUACAACCUUUUUGUGAGAAGGUUAUCCGCGCUUGUCAAUUAAGCCAACUUGUGUUGGCAUAUUAUUUGGUAGAUUAAUUUUAUUUUUCUUUUCCCCCCUGUACAAUUGGAACAUGCACUUAUGUACCUUUGGUCUUGGAGAAGCUGAGCUCCACGGUUUCACAGGGUAGAAUUCGAGCGGAGACUGAACGAACGUUUUGGCGAGAUUGCAAGAACCUCAAGUAACGAUCAAUCAUGAAGAGAUAGAAGCCAGGAAGCAUGAGGCAGGCAAAAGCGAUGCCAACAUGGAGGACGAAGAAGAGCACGAAGAUGAUGUACAAGUGAUGAGUAUAGAAGAAGAGCUCAAACAUCUUUCUCCUUAUGCGGGGAAAUGUCGUUGCCCACAUGGCUAGUCCCGCUACCAAAGCUAUUUCUCCGGCCACAUUGGAAAUGUCUGCUUUAGCCCAUUUUGUCAUCUGAAUUAUUUGAGCAAAAAUAACAAAACAAAGAAGAAAGAAAAAUAAGAUAUUAGUUAUACUAAUUAUAAGCAAAAGAAAAGCAUACGUGAAGAAGGUAACCUUUGACAUAUCUCACAGACGAAUACAAAAAUUGGCAAUUUUAACUUUUUGAUCUCAUAAGAUUGACGAACCCCACGAUAACACCCUAUAAGCUAGCAGCCCACCACCCUUGAAUAUGAUACAUCAAAGUCGAUUUGUCAAGCAACUCCCAGAUGGGACCUUACUUAUCUUUUUGCUUUUUCCAGCAAACAACAAUAUAUGCCCAUACGUAAUGCGAAACUGCAAUUUGCAUGGAAAACGCACCAAGCCUAAAAGAUAUGUAAAGAAAAGCAACCAAGAGCCCAAACAAGAAACAAGAACAAAUUUAGAGCACAGACCAGUUUCUUCUGGUUUGGUCAGUGGGGUGAUGCAUGCUAGCUAGCUAUUAGUCUCCCCAGGUCCAGGGCAACCCAUCCCUGCAACUUGUUUCUUGUGGGCACAAUCACCCAAGUUGCUCCUUCACUCAUAGUGUCAGUGCUCAGUACAUCGACUGUUGCACUAUUUUCGUUUAGUUAUUGAUUUAAACAAUUGGAAACUUCUAUUCUAUUCAAUUAUAUAACUUGUUCAAUCGCCUGUGUUUCCGGAAAAGAUAUAUAAGAGUAAUCAUUUAUUUUAUUCAUUGAAGAUAGAGUAACCGUUCAAUUAACUUUCAAAUUAACCAAAAAAAAAAUCGCAAAUAAAAAGAGGACUCCAUGUACAUCUGCAUAUCAAUUCUUACGAAAGAAACUAAUUAAAUUGGACGAGAUAGUCAAACAAUUUUUUCGAAUAUAAACCAUUGCAUCACUUGUUUAAGGCUGUCACCACCUCAAAUUGUUGGCACUGGCAGUGAAGCGAGUUUGUUAAGGGUGUUUUAAGGUUGGAUGCAAAGGGCACAUUGAACAGGACUAGUAGAAUGCUUCAGUCAUUAGAUAUGACUUUGUUCAUUAAUUCAGUUGUCUUAAUUGUAUUUAACGUUUGUAUCAAGUACAAAUAACCGGUGGAGUACUACUACUUAAUAAUUACCUCGGAUAUUUGAUGUGUGGCAGCCCAGAAGAUGAUGUAGCAAACGCCAUGAGCGGUGAAAAGGGUCAUUACAAUGUGGCCAAGCCAUAUAUGAUACUUGAUGCUUGCUUCGGAUGUCAGGCCAAAAAGUUGCAGCACCGAUGAGCCGCGGGUCACCGGAAAGAAGAGAAAUGUUAGACAUAGAUUCCCUAGCAGGCCUAGCCUUAGAGAUGCACUGCCCAGCUUAGCUUGCCACCUGCCACAUAUAUAUAUCACAUAUGAAUACGAUUAGUGUAUGGAUUUAUAUGAUCCGCCACCUUUGUCCGAACAAUCUCAGCUUUUAUUUCUGCAACUCUAUGCUUUCUGGAAAGAAUAAUAAUAAUAAUAAAGAAACUGAGAUGGAUGGAUUUCUUAGUUUCUAAUUAAGUUAAAGGCAUCUUACAAUUUCAUCCCACUCUUUGCAGCUGACUUCGGAGUGAUGCUAGCGAAGCCAUUGCGCACGUAAACUGUGUAGAACCAAACGAGAAGGGCAAUGAACAUCACAAGAAAAGCCAACUCAAUUCGAGAAACAAUUCCUAGUCCUUUGAUGAUAACUGGCCUCUUCCAUGCCACUAUACGAUUUUUACCAUCACGUCUGUCGAUCAGAAAACACGAAGAAGAGUUGCAAGUCAAGCUUCUUCUUCUUCUUUUGUUUUUUUUCCCCCCACGAAGCCAAAAAAAAAAAAAAAAAAAAAUCUGCUGCAAAAAUUACUUAAAUCCUUCUUGAUGUAUCUAGAGUUACCUCUUUGAAUCAUGCUCAUUGCUUCGUUUCUUUCCUAAAUGGAGAAAGACACAGCCCAAGGCAGCAACGAAAAGAACAGGAAAUGUGAAGACCAAGAAAUUUGCACCUGUAAAAGGUGGUUAUGAAGAAGAUGAAACUGCUUAUAUAAAAUUGAGAAAGAACAUCGAGGAGUAGAGAGGAUCGGAGAUCAAUAAAUCAUCAAUAAAUAAACCUUGUGAUCCAAAGUAAGUUGUAUUAGACUCAGCUCGAAUCUUUAGAAGCCAGUUCUGUUUGAAAGUAUUGGUUGGCACCAUGAUCCAGAUGAAAAUAUAUCCAGCCGAGACCACAACAAGCAGUGCCAUUAUCAUUCCUUGGACGACACUGUUUCCUCCAGCCUGAGGAGAUCUUGUUGCCACCCUUGUGUCCAUGGCUUCGUUGAUGACUAUCACUACGGGCCAAUAUUCGUAGCGGGGGGAAUAUCUAUGGAAUUGCAAAUCGAUAGAAAUAGCCUUGUAUAAUGGAUACAAGAAGUUAAUGGCCUUAUAUAAUGGAUAGACGUCGUGUAGAAUAUUAUUUCCUAGUGUGUGAACCUACAAGAGAAACAGUAGCAUACCACUAAUAUUCCUAAACCAUGAAAAGCAUGAUUCACGCCCCUGCAAGGGUGAUGGAAUGUAUACACGUAAUCUUCAUUCUUCCCCUAAAAACAAAACCUGCGAGAGACAGAGAGUGUGUAAAAUAAUUAAUUAAUUUUGGACACAAAUUUUUUUUGGCAAUAGUUGUGUAUAAGCACGGCAAACAAGCAAGCAUAGGCUUUUACCAUAUGCUAAGUAGAUACCAAAGAAAAUCAUUCAACUGUAGUAAAAAUUUGACAAUAUAUAUUGUAACAUCAAGGUUAGGCAUUUAACUAUAAUACUAUACAACAAUGGCCCGUUUAGAUUGCAUUUUUCAUGAUUUUUUCAUGAAAAAUUUACUGUAGCGAUUUGAUGUAUGUGAGGAAAAAAGAUUAUAGGAAAAUAUGAUCACGAAAAAUAACGCAAUUUUUUGACAGAAAAUGAUAAUCCAAACAGGGCCUAAUUUCACUUAUACGUUUAUUUUUCAACUGAUUACAUGUUUUUUUGACAUUAUUCGGGGGUCAACGAAAGGGCAAAGAAAGGCACGUGGUUUGCUUUAUUACGCUUCAUUGCAUGCUUCAUGCAUUAUUUUCGCGUCAGGGGAGGGGAUAGCUUAAGAGUAGCAGCACACUUGUAUCUAAAUCAAACAGUUUAAAAAAUGGAUACGUACGUAUGCACCUAAUGCAAAAGAGAAUAACUUGAUUGUGUGGUUGACGCCAUAAGUAGACUAGUAUGGUACUUGUAUAAUUGGCAUAUACAUAGAGGUCUGAAAAUGCCAAUGCCAUCUAUAUAUAUAUAUAUAUAUAUAUAUAUAUAUAUAUAUAUAUAUAUAUAUAUAUAUAUAUAUCGUAAAACCUACUCUAUGGGAAUCUGACUCUAAGGAGUGCCUAAUUGAGUCGAAGAAACCUGACGGAGAUUGAACCACCAUCAGAUCAGAUGGGUGCACCACUCACCCGUAUGGAUUUAGAACAAUUCUCAUAUAAAAACAUAUUGAUGGGAGGCAAGAUUUAUAUAUAUAUAUUUUUUCGUAAAACCUACUCUAUGGGAAUCGACUCUAAGGAGUGGCCUAAUUGAGUCGAAGAAACUUGACGGAGACUGAACCACUCACCCAUAUCAAUUUAGAAUAAUCCUCGUAUAAAAACAUAUUGAUGGGAGGCAAGAUUUGAACCCCUGAUCUCUCAUCCCACUAUUAAUGUGGUCGCCGUCUCUAUAUUCACUAAUCAAGAUCUUUACUACCAUUGAAAUGCAUCAAUAUAUAUAUAUAUAUAUAUACUCAAAUCAAAUACGUCCAUGUGUUUACACUCGAAAAGAGGAAGAUAAGGUGCGAAGUCCUGUCCGUCAAAACUUGCCAAAAAAUCAAGAAAAGCUAAUAUGUAACGAUCCAUUCAGUCAAUUAGAACCAUUAAUUCACUGCUUUUCUUCCAAGUUUCACAAACGAAGGGCUUUAUCCAGCUUUUCUUCUGACAAAAACACCAUAGAUUUCUGACAUUGUUUAACAGGCAUAUAUGUAAUGCUGACGCAAAAAAAGAAACAUACCACUAAAUGGAAGCUAGUGAUCGUUAGGCAAUGAAAGAUCUAAUCCUGGUGAAAUAAAAUUAGGACCAUCAAAGUGGAGGCACCGCCCCAAACCUGAAUUUCACGGCCCAUGUCUAGCUACAUUCCUCUCUGUUUCCACAGAUUGGGCGGAAGGAUAAAGAUUUGGCUUUUUUAGGGGAAACAACACUUAGCAAAUUGGAGGGCAAUCGCCUAUUUGACCAAUAUAGUGGGAUGGCUAAUGUGGGAUGUGCGUGUUGCAUUGUGUUCGUCCAGGAGUAAAUACGGCAGUCCUCGUGUUGGAUGUGCGCCUGCGCGUGCCCAAAAGCUGAUGUGUGGAGCAGAUGUUGGGUUGACACAAUUAGACAUGCAAUUUUUCUGUAGCUUAAUCUUUUUAUCUCUUAAUUGUUUGCCUACAGUUUCUUGAUGAUUAAUUAAAUGGCCUGAAAUAAUUGCUACAUCUGCCUAUGCAAGCAUUGCAUGAGGACACUGUGAUGAUUAUAUGUUGUCAGUCGUCACCUUGAAAGUGGAAGUGAUGCUUCAGGACACUUUCCACAGCAAAAAGGCAUCUACGCUCCAUCCUCUGGGAAUUCAGUGACGUUUCUAAUCAUAGUUGCUAAAUCUUGGGAACCUAGCCAGGUUUCGUGCGGAAAUCAACGGACCCAUGUGGCAGCACCACCCGCCAACGAUCAACAUGGUCGCACUAGGAUUGCAAACGAGUUUAGCCUCCUCGCGAAUCAACUGGAUGGAAACUAGAUGCAGGUUCGUCCAAAAUUAUUGAGUUCUAAUCGAAUUCGAGCUAGUUUGACAAGUUAGUCGAAUCAAAUCAAAUACAUUAGUACUCGGUUCGUUAGCUUGUCAAGUCAGUUCGAAUAUAUACAUUUUUAAUAGUAAAAUUAUAUAUAUGUCUUCUGAAUUUUUGUUAUUUAUUAAGGUGAAAUGUCAAUUUUAUAUAUUUGCUUUUCUAAUUAGAAAAAGAAAAGAAUGAUAUUGGUGGUUUUUGAAUGAUUAGUAGGUUAUUGCCCCCGCGUGAAUGGUCCAGCGGCAGCGCCUCUCACCAGUGACCCUUGAAGUCACAAGUUCGAGUCUCAGCUACGCUGGAUUCCUCCGCGCACUUAAUGUGUUCGCGCCGGGUUGGGGCGCCGGACCCGGGCCGCAGGGGAUUAAUCGGGCCCCGUAAGAAUUGAUCCGGAUACCCCUGUGUCGAAAAAAAAAAAAAAGAAUGAUUAGUAGGUUAUUGAGUAGUAUAGGCUUAGACUUGGGAAGAAUAUAGUGGUACAAUUAUAGGAAGAGUACAGUGGCAGCGGUGAAUUAGCAGUGUGAAAUUUGACAGAUGAGGUAUGGAUGUAUCAUGCUAAAUCUUGGAAUGGUACAUUUGGAAAUUGGAAUAACAAAUAAUAUGACACUCUAUUUUUUGACACUGACUCAUGCAUUAUAUGUAGAGAGAUAUGCAUUCACUUUUUUUAGGGGCGGCAAUUGGGUCAGAAGUGAAUUGGCGGAUUGGAUUGAGAUCUGAAUAUAACAGAUAACCUGCUGACCCGAAUACGACUUACCAAUUCAAAACGGGUCAGGAUACCUAAUUCGAACCCGAAAUUUUGGGUUAGCGGGUCAACCCGAAUGACCUGAAAUAUAAUUUCAAUUUAUUAAUUUACCAGUGUAAUUUCUAACAUAACCAAUUUCGCACAAGACUAAUUACAUUAUCAAAUAAUAAAAAUCUCGAUAAAACAAUUCCAAACCAGAUCUGAAAUAAAUUAAAACACUGUAAAAGUAUUUUAUCCCAAACCAGAUCUAAAAUAAAUUAAGAUACUAUAAAAAUAGAAAAUAAUGUUAUAUAUCAUUUGUCCAAACAUAAUAAUUCCAACUUCACACAAGUUAAACAAAUUCAUUUAGAAUUAAGUGGUUAAUACCUUUGGGGAAAAAAGAAUAACUCAGUUUAGUUAGAUAAAAUAUUUUUAUAUUUAUUAAAUUAUUUUUAAUUUAUAAACGGGUUAUCGGAUCAACCCGUGGAUGACCUAAAUUCGACCUUUUUUCGGAUUCAUUAAGUUCGACUCAAUUCUGACCCGAACCCAUAAAAUCUCAACCCAAACCCAUUAAUUUCGUAUUAAAUUCAUGUCAUAUAUUCAAAUCGUGUCGAAAAUUGCCACCUCUAACUUUUUUGAUUCGUUGUAGUAGUUUUGAAAUAAGCGUAUCUUGCAAGCACGAUCGAGGGAGAAAGAAAUCAAUGGCUCAUGAUCAAUGGUUUGGCAUCGCGCUCACUAAUGUUCUUAAUUAAGAAUUCAACAAAUUAAGUGGAGUACUAAACUUUUAAGUUCAUUUCUUUGAAAAUAGAGUAUUACUCUUUGAUUAUUCUUUAUUGCUAAAAUUUCAUCCCUAAAAUCAUAGUCCAAAAUAUGAUCUAAUAUUCUAAUGUGUUCCCGCAUCUAAAAGGCCGCGAGCCCAAUAAUUGUUCAGCCAGCCUUCCAUAGCCAGGUGAUUAUAUAUCAUUUUCCCCACAGUUACACUUUUUUAGUCCCCAUCCGCAUUUAAAUUUGAAGGCUGGGCCUGGGUCUAACCAUAGAGGCAAACAAGAAGGAAAAUGAAGGACCCACUCCAGGGGCCUCCAGGAGGCCAGAAAGUUUCAAUUUUGCCAGCCACAUUCUACAAGAUUGUCGAUUCACCCGCUGAAACUGAUGGACUCGAAAAUGCAGACCGGCUCUUAAACCUGAAACAACGUCUGUUUACAACCUCAUAUCUGAUUCUUUGUGCUGAAAAUGAGCUUCUGAAUCAGCAUCAACGUUGUUAGGAGUUGGGGAAAUUAGGACAAUCUAUUCAAUUAUCCUCGAAGUAAGAUGAAGACUACAAUGAAUGAAAAGAGUUCAACAAAGAUUUUUUUGAAAAAGAUAUCCAAAACUAACACAAGAAGGAAAGAAAAUUUGUGCAGACUACCCUGUCUGGUGGAUCUUGAAACACGGGGAGAACUUGAAAACGACAAAACAUGUGCUAGUUUAGUAUAUCAGAUGGCAAAUUGGCGCAAUCCCACCAUGCAAGCUGAAUAUUUUUACAUGGCAAAGUAAGAAUAACUAGAACCAUGUGUCGAGGGAUUGAUUACAUGGCAAAGUAGUCAAUAACUAGAAGCAAAUGACUGGAGCAGAGCUACAUAAAGAUGAAAAAGAACCUUCUGCCAUCUGUCACUCAACUAAACAAACAAAAACACUGAGGAGAUCUUGCAGUUCCAAUUCCAGAACAGGAUAUGCUGUGGUGUAGGUAUAACUUGCAAGCAUGGCUCUGUCUAUAGUCUUUAGUUACUUCAAAGUAUAUCUAGCAUUGAACUAGUCUGUAGCAAGUCAGCAGCAGCAGCUCUUCUUCUUCCAGAACCACAACAUAUGACGCAAAUAAUACAUGCUACCAAUGUUUAUCUUUGCGUCUAAAAUGUUCCAUUAUAGUAAGGUGUGAUCCUCUUUCAUAAAUCAUGAUGACAUAGAUCUAAAACUUUGCAACUACUACUGGUGAUGCUGACGUAAAGACGGAGAAGGAGCUCUACUGUAGUCUAUAUACCAUGCCAAAUGCUUCGACCAUAUUCGAAGCAAUUGAACCAUAAGAUUAUCAAACCAUCAGCAGCCAAGGUAGAGAAUACCAUCUGGCAACACAAAGCCAAAAGCCUAUCGGACCCAAGAUCAAUAAGGAACCAUAAUUCACAUCACACUUCAUUAAGGUCCUACACAGCAAUUAGUGCAAACUGAUUUCCGCUAGAAAACCAAACAUAAAGAAAACACAGCAACCACUCCAAAAGAAGAGGCAUCAAAAAAUGCAUGAUCGAUUGCACCCACACUAGAAAAAAAUAUACUGAUUCACAGGAUUAAUAAAAGCAAUGAAGUUUCCUUUUCCAAACUGCUUGAACAUUCAUAGGUAAAGGUAAUUUCCAACAAAUAAGCUAUUGAGUACAAAGCAUAGACAUCAUUCCCCGGAAAGUAUACAAAUAUGUUAAAUAUCUCAACACUGAGUGGAGUACAGUUUGAAUUUUAGACAAAUCUACAGCUACUCUGUAUAAAUAAAAGUUCUCACAAGAACAAGAGAAACAAAAAGCCAUGAAGACGUUUCAUAUACUAGUCCUUAAGAUCUUCAGGGAUAUAUAAGGUACUUGAUUUAGGACUCACUAGGCCCACAAGGGCAUCAGAGUUUACCAGAUGACUGUUGGCUGCCAUACUUCAGAUUAAUUUCAGAGACAUCCACAGGUAACCUUAACCAUCCCACUGUGUCCCUGCCUCCAGACCUCCUCCUUUGCACUACCACGGAUGCAGUUAGCAACAAAAACACUGCCGCUAGUAAAGGCACUAUGACACCGGCAUUUCCUCUUCUCCAGCUCUUCAUAACUGACUCAACACAGAGCUCGCCAUCAAAACUACCCAGUGAAUUGCUUAUCUUGAAGACCUCAACCCCAUUGAGGAUAGCAUCAACAGCAUUGGUCAAGCUCAUAUUGGACGGGCCAACACUAACGUUCAAUGAUUCGGAAUUCAACCCUUCCACUACAAAAUCAGCAUAGAAAGGCGAAGCAAGCAACAUGUUUGUCAUUGCUGAUAAAUCCAAGUCCUCAUAUGCCAAAUUCCCAUUUACAUAAACAUUAAAGUAAAGCAUAUAAGGCCCAAUGCUUGCUAUAUCGCAGAAAUGCAUCCGAACCAAGUACUUGUAACCCUCAAUUCCUGGAAACACCCAGGCUAUGUUCGACUUGGGAAUGACAUUAUUCGAGCUCUUAAUCACCCGGGCUGAGUUAUAAACAUUGUCCGGCCCAACUUCACGCGUUGCCCCGCCCAUCUGAUACUGAAUCCGGCCACUGAAGUGGAUUUCCAAGGAGCCCUCAUGACCGGAUUUUUCCAAAAAUUCACCAUCAGGGACCCAAGCCCUCCACAGAGAAUCAUUGAAAGGUGUCACCUUUGGACCUCCUACAUUCACUCUAUAAACAGUUUCGAACCCUUUGUUCAACAAUCCAUUAAUCCUCUCAUUUUUCUCAGAAUUUACAAACUGGGCUACGUCAGCGACCAAGUCAUGGGGUGCAGAAAUCACUUCAAUUGCGUUGACAAAGGCAAAAUUCGAUCUUUUCUUUGGCACAAACGUAAUAUCAAGCUUAUCGGAAUCAACCCUUAUGAUAUACUCCUUGAUUACUAUACCGUCUUUCGGGGAAUUCUGGAUGCUAAAAUCGCGUAACAACAAGAACCCAUUUGCCAAAACGUGGAAUUGAACAGCGGAGAAGUCGAAAGAAGUGGAAUUAAAGAAAGGAGAGAAAUGAAGGCGUACCAAGUGGUGGGUCCCCCCGCGGUGGUCCUGAAUUGGGAAGCUGUACUUGCAGGGACUGCUGAAGGCUCUGGCAGUGCGGUAGAGAGGAGAAGAAUUGGAAGAAGCGGGGUCGGAGUUGGUGAGUGGAAUAGUCCGGGUUGAAGGGGUGGUAAAGAAUCGGGAGGCUGAGGUGGAGGAGUCGCCCGUGAAGCGGCGGUGGUCGAGGUCGAUGAUGGAGGGCUCGUGGGAGCCGCAGCUGAUGAGGUAAUGAUCGAUUGGGUGGAAGAAGGAGGAAGAGGAGACGAGGGUGGUGAAGAAUAAUAAGAAGAAGGAGGAGCUAAGAGCGAUGGCGGGAGCAGUGAAACUCUUCAUAGCUCAGGUCAAUUUGAUGAUGGAAUUGGAAACUGGGAAAGUGGAAAAGAAAGGCGUCUGGAUCAUUCAACUCUCACGAAGAAAGAUGAAAAUACAAAUUAGAAAGCAAAAGCGUGUUUUGGCAUUUUAACAACAUCUGAUUUCUGAGCUGGAGGCGUUGAAGUGAAGAAUGUGGACCCCACGCGCUUGAAGCAUUCGGUCAUCUUACAAGAUGAAAUCUUUCAUCUGAUUUUUUUUUAAAAAAAAAACUCGGUUCUUUUUUUUUUACCAAAGCCAGGAUGACUUUUGAUCAUUUUACAAACCUAAAUCCGAGGAAAUCACAAAAGCCGGCAACUCUUGAGUUUCCUCAGGAGACUUAUAAACUAAUCCAAAUCCCCCCCAACACUCGAUGUGGGAUAACUACCUUAAGCAGGGCAGCUACUACUAAGACCUAAAGAGACCUCACUAACCCCGGACAGGCAGUUGUCUUUUUUACCAAAGCCAGGAUGACUUUUGAUCAUUUUACAAACCUAAACCCCGAGAAAAUCACAAAAGCCGGCAACUCUUAAGGUUCCUCAGGAGACUUAUAAACUAACCCAAACCCCCCCCCCCAACACUCGAUGUGGGAUAACUACCUUAAGCAGGGCAGCUGCUACUAAGACCUAAAGAGACCUCACUAACCCCGGACAGGCAGUUGUCAUUUUUACCAAAGUCAGAAUGACUUUUGAUCAUUUUACAAAUCUAAACCCCGAGAAAACCACAAAAAAACUCGGUUCGAAUUAGCUAUUUUUCAAGUGAUUUUAAAAAUUUUACUGUAAUUGUAUAUAUGAAAAAAUUUAUCUAUUGAGGUUGUUUUUAGAGGGUUUUUUUUUAAACAUAUUUUAAAACAUUUUUAAAAUUUAUGAAUUUUUGAAGCAUAUUUAAAAAAUUUACAUCACUCACAACUGCUACCCACCGUCGCCACCUCCACUCUCCUCCUUUUUCCUCUCUUCUCUUCCUCCUCUCUUCUCUCCCUCUUCCCUUGCCGUCACCAUCACGUGCUUGAAGCAUUCAAUCGUUUCACUAGAUGAAAUCUUUCAUCUAAUCCUUCCAAAAAAAAAAUUCAUUCAUCUAAGGUACUAUCUGUAAAAAAAAUAAAUAAAAUGUAAUGUAUAAAAAUUAAUCUAAAUUUAAAUUUAAUAUAUAUGUUAUGCAUCCAAUUAUUAGAAAAUAUACACCGUCAUUAUGUGCAAGAUUAACUAAAAAAAUAAGGGAGAAGAAAUUGUGUCUGUUUGCGUGUGAUAGUGGCAAUAGGAGGCAACGGAAAUUUCUUCGAUUACUCAUGAGUCAUGACAAGGCUUCGAGGUCAAUACAUAACAAACGAGCAGAGAGGCUACUAAUUCUUAAGCCUUACGCGGCUCCACUGUACAUUCCACAAUCCCAGACGGACAGACUUUAGUACUAGGGAUAAUUUCAGAAACCUCCCCUGAGGUUUCUAAUAAUUUCACUGAACUCCCCUAAAGUUUUAAAAAAUUAUACUUACCUUCCUUAAUUUGAUAGUUUUAGUAACAAAACCUUAAAAUAGUAUUUGAUUUGGUCAAUUUUUUAAAUGAAUACCCAAAAAUACUCUUGUAUAAUGAGUUUUAAUUUAUUUUCCUGUACAAUUAUAUGAUUUUUUAAUAUAAUUAUAAGGCAAAGUUGCCAAAUUUUUUAUGUCCAUUUCUGCUAUUUGAUAAACAACUAUAAUAAUAAUUUUAUUAUUAUGAUAUUAUACUUUUUAUGAUAUUUUAUUAUCAAUUUAGAUUUAUAAGAUAGAAAAGAAAAUGUUGAAAUAAUUCAUUUAGAUUUUAUAAAAUUUUCGAAUAGUGGGAUUAUCAGAAUUUAAUAGUGAUUGUGGGACAUUUUUUUUAUUUAUUGUUAAUUUUAAUACCCAAAAAUAGAAAACAAAGAUCAGCAAAAACAUUGGAUUACAUAUAAAAUUAAUUCGUCAAAAAAAUCACUAGUUCGACAUUUUGUUAUAAUAAAAAAUAAAGGUAAUAGUUGUAGUUCUAUAGUUUUAAGUUUUAUUGCCUAAAAACUAAAAAAAAAAGAAUGAGAAGGAAAAAGAAUGAAAAAAUAAUUUUAAAACUUAUUUUAAGUAUAAGCAUGCCAAAUAAGGGAAUUUCAUUAAAAUAUUUAAGGGUAAAAUUGUAGUUUUAAAUGAUAAGAGAGGUAUGUAUAAUUUUUCAAACCUCAUGAGAGCUCAGUGAAAUUGUCAGAAACCUCAGGGGAGAUUUUUUAAAUUAUCCCUUAAUACUAAUACCCUGCGGACUUCACUAGUAUUAGAAUUAGCAUAGGAUUUUUUUUUUUUGAAUUUUUGAAAUAUUUUUAAAAAGUUUACACCACUCAUCACCACUAUUAGGCCUGUCAACGGGUCGGGUCUAGACCCGGAUCCGGACCGGAUCCGUGAAAUUAUUGCGGGUAAGGGUAGGGAUUUAAUUCCGUUUCCCGGAUCCGGAUCCGGAUUCGUUUUGUCAAACAAAAAAACGGGUCGGAUACGGAAUAUAGUAUUCCGACCCGUAUUAGACCCGGAUCCGGAUAUAAAUGAAUUUAUAAUUUGAUUAGGGUGAUGUAUUUGAAUAAAGUCAAUUUGAUUUAUUUUCUUAUUUGGUUUUUCCUUUGCAUUAGUUAGAAAUUAGUUUACAAAUAUAUUUUUUUCUCAUUUUAUUAGAAAUUAUAAAUUUUGCUAAAUUUGUUCGGGUAGACCCGACCCGAAUCCGAGACCCGCCGGAUCCGGAUCCGGAAACAUAGAAUAAAAGACCCGUCGGGUAAACGGGUCGGAUCCGGGUCCGGUAUAGUAAUUCGGGUCCGGACCCGGCCCGUUGACAGCCCUAACCACUAUCCACCAUCACCACCUCCUCCCUCCUUCUUCUCUCUCUCUCUCGUCUCCUCCUUCUCCACCGUCACCAUGACGCGCUUGAAGCAUUCAAUCAUUUUCACUGGAUGAAAUAUUUCAUCUAAUCCUUCAAAAAAAAAACCUUCAUCUAAGGUAUUGUUUGUGAAAAUAAAUAAAUAAAAUAUGAAUGUAUAAAAAUUAAUUUAAAUUUGACAUAUAUAUCAUGCAUUCAAAGAUGAUAAUGUAUACACCAUCACAAUAUACAAAAUUAACUCAAAAAUAAAGGGGAAGAAAUUGUGUAUGUUUUAUGUGUGUUAGUGGUAACAGGAGGCAAAGGAAAUUUCUUCUAUUACUUGACUCUGUUUGGAUUAUAUAUUUUUUUAGGUGUUUUUCAAAAAUUUUACUGUAACUGUGUAUAUAAAAAAAUUUGACUGUAGAUAUUUUUUAGAGGUAUUUUUAAAAUAUAUUUUGGGGCUUUUUUAUAAUUUAUAAAGUUUUUGGAAUUUUUUUAAAAAAAUUUUACACCACCCCCUCCUUCUCCUCCCUCUUUCCUCUCCCUUCUUUCUUCUCCCCUCCUUUCCCCCAACCCCAAAACCCUUUGAGUAGAUUAUUGUUCUUAAUCUACAAAAUAAUGAAAAUAAUAUUUUGACAAAAAAAUACUCAUGGUAGACAUAUAUAUCCUUGCAUAUUGACACAUGUUCUAAUUAUUUUGUAGAUUAAAAGCAAUAAUCGACGAAAUGGCCACAUGUGUGCUGAUUAGUUAAUUUAAUGGCUAAUUUGUGAAAAAAAUUGUUUGAUCGAUGUGAACAAUAGUUUAACGGCGGUUGAGUUUUUUUAAACCUAACUAAACAAACCAACCAAAUAACAACAAAUGGCAUCAACUAACUAAAUGAAAUAAAUGAAACACUCAAGCUUGGUUUUGCUUUCCUACACAAAUCAUCUCUCAAAUAAUUUUGGACUGCAAAACCAUGUAUGGGGUUUGUUUCUUAUCAUUCAAGAUAUCAGGCCACCUUUUUGCUGAAUUAGUAGCGACAAUGCAAUUUAUCCUAAAUCAAAAUGAUGGGAAAAAAUUAAUAACGUAUCACUAUUGACAAUUUUGCAUCAGUGCACAUAAGAAAAGGACAUCGUUGCAUAAAUCUAAGAUCAAAAUGACGUGAAGGAAAAUGACAAAAGUAUUUUAACCUUGUCUUCAUAUUCAUGCCUUUGAAAGUAAUUUCCAAAUUAUAAAAUUUACAUAUCUUACAUAUUAACUCCUCUAAAGCGCUUUUCAAAACUCAAUUGCUUAUUUGCAUUCUGUCAUAUGUAAAAAUAUAUGGGAACGUUAAAUUGAAUGGUAGAUAAAAGAUAUUGUAAAUAGAGUAUACUGAAUUUUAAAAAAAAAACCCUUUUCCUUAUUAUUUUCUCCUCCUUUUUUUUCCGUUGAGGAUUUAUAUAUUCUCACGGGUGUCUAAAAGAUAUUUUAUUUGGACAGAUAGAAACCGAAGAGAGAGAGAGGGGAUUCAUCAACAAAGAAUACACUUUUGCAACAAUUACACUACUGUUGUUUUAUACACGUUAUAAACUCCUCUUCAACGAAAUCCAGGCCCAACAAAAACCUCUCGUCCUCCUCCUCUUUCUUCUUCACCCCUAAAGCCUAAAAAACAGGGAAGCUUCAAUCCCUUGCUACGUUCCAGACAAGACUGCCCAGAGCCACUGAGCCAUGGCGUUCCCUUUUAUGGAAGCUGUCGUUUGUACGUUUUCUCUUGCCAUAUGUCUUAUCGACUUUCUCCUCUUCCCUAGCCUGUAUUUGAGCACAUUUUGUUUGUAUUGCUUCCGAAAAUUAGAACAAGAAAUUGAUGGUCGAUGUUUAUUUUGUCAAGAAAUCGCUUUAUUCAUCUCAUGCCCUUUAUAGAGUUAAUAAGUUGACGUUUGCUUUGAAGUUUGGAUUUUAUCUCUGGGUUUCCGCGGUUGUGGGAUUUCUUGAAUCUUUACUGUAGUUGUUGCGUUUCUGCGGGUUGGAAGAUAGGUUUAGGGUUUCACUUUAAUGUCUUUUUUUUCCCCAUAUUUCCUUUCCUUCAAUAUUUUCUUUUUUAUGUGAUAUAGUAGCCCUAUUUAAUUGCUGUCUUGGAGUGAACUUUAUGGUAUUGUCUUCGGGUCGAUUGAAAGGAACACCUAUAUAUGCAUGUGUGAGAACACGCUUAGAUCACUUGUACAAAGAAAGAAAGAAUCUUGCACAUAACUUUACAAAAGUGGUAGUGCAAACAGUAGAAGUGGCUGAAGACUUCCACUUUCCGUGGAGUUCUUUAGUAGAAUGCGUUGACUUUAUGGUUUGAUUACUUAGGACUGUUGGCUUUGUUGUUUCAUUGUGCAAUAGUUCAUUAUCCUUUACCUUGUUCAUCUUCUUGUAGAAUGAGUUCCGUAAUCUAUGUCUUUGUCUUUAUGAAGUUCUGCCUGUUUGUGCCAUCACAUGGUGACUGACUGAUUGGACGGUCUUGUUUCACAAAUUUAAUUCCAAUCUUGGAUCUAUCUUUCAAACAAAAAAUGUCUUCUGUGUACUAGUUCGUUUAAAUUGCAUUUUUAUCCCUUCUAAAUAGGUGUGAAAGAAUAGUUCGUCUAAAUUGCAUUUUUAUCCCUUCUCAGUUCUCAUUAUGUCCCUUUCACCCCUAAUUUUGUUUCAAAAUAUUCAGGUUUUAUGAUAUUGAUGUACUUAUUCGAGAGUUAUCUUGAUUUGCGGCAACAUGCUGCCCUUAAGUUGCCUACGCUACCAAAAACUCUGGAGGGUGUAAUCAGCCAAGAAAAAUUUGAGAAGUCUCGAGCAUAUAGCCUUGACAAAAGGUAUCAAUUACUUCCUUUCGUUUCUAAAAUGCUUCUGUCUCAAAUUUUAUAGAGAUUAUACUUGCUUCAAACAGUGUUUUUGUUAUUGAUUUUGUUUACCUUUCUUGCAGCAACUUCCACUUUGUUCACGAGUUUUUUACCAUUCUGAUGGACUCUGCAAUUCUGUUCUUUGGUAUUUUACCUUGGUUUUGGAAGGUGAGUAGACUUGUAUUCUUUGGAGAUCUUCUUUGCAGCUGAAAUAUUUCUGUUGACAUUACUAUGACUGGCUGCAGAAAUCAGGAGAAUUUUUGGUUCUUGCUGGGCUUGAUGCGGAGAAUGAAAUUUUUCACACGCUUGCAUUUUUAGCUGGUGUUAUGUUUUGGUCACAGGUAAAUGUGAAAUUUUUAUUUCAGUCGCAGUUUUCUUGAACUAGUACUGCUUAAUGUAAGAUUGAAUGUAGAUUAGCCUUUCUACCUGCCAACUAAUUACUAACAAGUCCGACAUAAAUAUUUUUGGGCCCUUAUCUUUUUGGGAACUUGACUUUUGGAAAAUUAAAUACUGGUGAAAUCCUGUAUCAAAGAAAGCUGUGCAGACUUGCUCUUGAAAUGUUGAUUCAAAUAGAAUAUUUGAUUAAGCUGCUCAAAUUGGCUCAAUAAUUAUGAACAUUUAUCUACCUUAUGUUUGACUGUUGAUAUCUUAAUCCUAAUUUUUUUUCCAUUUUUUAAGUGGUAGAAACUUCUUGCUGUGCAUAUGUAGAGCUUAGUAAGUUUUAAUGUCAAGAAACGUUAAUAUUUGGGGAGAAAAGAUUAAUUAUGACGACUAGAAAUCUAGUGUGAUAGAAAAUUCUUUUUCACCCCUCUGCACAUUUAUUAGCUAGAUAUCUGAAAAGGACCAACUUUGGAAGCCCAAAUCUGAGAAACUCAAAGGAAGUUAUAUGGUGGAAAAGAAACUUUAUUUCCUAUCAAUUAGGAAGACUAGAAAGCCUCAAUACGGAUAAGACAGAAACUUCUUUCCUAUCCCUCUGCACAUUUAUCAGCUAGAUGUCUGAAAAGGGCCAAUUUUGGAUGCCCAAAGCAGAAAAACUUAGUACUACAAUUAUCAUGAAGAGUACCUGGCCCUUGUGGAUAUUUACUUGGAAGUUAUUUUUAAUUAUUGUUAGCUUUUGAUCGUUUUGAAUUCCUAUGCGAACUGCUAAAAUUGUUGUAUAAUGCAGAUUACAGAUUUGCCAUUUUCGUUGUACUCCACAUUUGUCAUUGAGGCAAGCCAUGGUUUUAACAAAGUAUGUACUCAGACCUGUCAUCUUUUAUGAGUUUUAGUUAUUAUAUUUGUGUCUGUCACUUGCAAGUUCUUUAUAGUUUCCUGGGUUCAUUCUUUGAUGGCUGUUGAAUCUCUUUUUUUAAUGUGCCUGGUGUAGCAAACAAUUUGGUUGUUUUUUAGAGACAUGAUAAAAGGAAUUGCUCUAGCUGUGGUGAUUGGUCCACCUAUUGUUGCUGCCAUCAUUGUAAUAGUACAGGUACAAUGGUCCUAGGGUUUACAUUAUUUGGUUGUUGCACUAUAUAAUGCAUGGCUGCUCUUUCUAGUGCCUUAACUAAAAUCUCUAAUGAUACUAACUUUUUGUCGCAGAAAGGAGGUCCUUACCUGGCAAUAUACUUGUGGGGAUUCAUGUUUGUUCUUUCCCUCGUGAUGAUGACGCUGUAUCCCAUCUUAAUAGCCCCACUGUUUAACAAAUUUACACCAGUAAGUGAUGCAAUGGAUUGUACCUAAUAUAGAGUUGUAAUGGUGCUGUUAAAAAAAGAAGAAUGGGAACAUUUUUCAUGAGACCUUUAUUUUGCAAAGUCUUAUGAAUUUGGUUGUGUAUUUCUUUGAACAAGCAGCUUCCGGAUGGAGAGCUUAGAGCAAAAAUUGAGAGUCUUGCUUCCUCCCUUAAGUUUCCUUUGAAGAAACUGUUUGUUGUUGAUGGAUCUACAAGGUCAAGCCACAGCAAUGUAAGCAUUUUACUUGUUGAUGCAUAGUUUCUUACAUUUUGCCUAAGUUAUAUCAUUUUGGAGGUUCUGCAGUAUAAAAAACUAUGGAGUUUGAGAUAGUCCUCUAUUGUGCUUAGCUUUUAUUUGUAUUUUCUGUUAAAAUUAUCUUGUCCUCCUUUGAAUUUUGUACGUGUGUGCAUUUUUUGUAGGCAUACAUGUAUGGGUUUUUCAACAACAAACGCAUUGUUCUUUACGACACACUGCUUCAACAGGUGCGGAGGUUACGUUUUUGGAACUUGUAGUUAAUGACCUUAUUUACAUCUACUACUUAGCAUUUUUUGUUUAGUUUGGUGACAGUUUGUAUAACAAAAUCUCUGGAUAUUUAAAUUGUUUCAAUGUGCAAAUGCAACCUACUUUUUGCGUCUCGACAAGGACUUACUAAUUUGAGGAAUAAUAACUAAUAAAGUUGUUAUACUGGUUUAACCUGAACUUUGAAAAGCAAGAUUUUCUAAUUUUUCUUUAUUGAGUGAGUGGGUAUGCAAUAAUAGGGUUUGGAGGUAAAUUUUUGUCUAAAAUAUUCAAUCAGAACAAAAGUGAGAUUGAAUCUGUAUCCCCCUCCCCCGUUUCUUGGAACCUGAUUCUUGUUUCCAUAAUCCUUUUGAUUACAUUUUACUUACUGGACUGUGUGAUUUAGUGCAAGAAAGACGAGGAAGUAGUUGCGGUUAUUGCACAUGAACUGGGGCAUUGGAAGCUAAACCAUACAAUGUACUCUUUCAUUGCUGUUCAGGUAUGGGAUACACUGUCAAGCUAACAAUCUUGUUUGUCAUCUGGUUCAUUGUUUUCUCCUUUGUUACUUGGGCAGUUACAAUUUUUUGAGUGAUUUGCCAUUCUAUGGAAUGCAUGAAGAGAAUUGGAUGUUUGCAUAUCUCUUUGGUUCCUGAAUGUAAUUAGAGCCAAAAUUCCUGAAGUUGCUUGAAUUUUUUUUAUCUUUUUCUGUUUUUUAAUGCUGGAAAUUGUUUACUAGAGGCUGCUAUGUAAUUCUUGUAAUAGGUCUAUGCACUGCCUAAUAUACUAUAUGCUGUUUGGGUAGUGGGAUGAUGAGUAAGAGAUAAAGGUACUCUUUAGCUGAUUUUGCUCAUGGGCAAAGUAGUUGCCUGCAUCUAUUGGUUUUCUUAUCUGAUGUUAUCUUUACUUAUAUUAUUUUUUCUUGAGGUAAUAGCUAAGGCAUUACUCGUCUGUUUUACAUGUCUGUGUCAUGAGAGGCCAAUUUUUUAACCUUUAGUUGCAAUGUCUCGUCUCUGUUGUAUAUUUGUUACUGUUUGGUUCACAAAGUUUCUUAUAUGUGUCCUAAAUGUUUGAAAAACUGAUGAUAUAGAUUCUGCAUACUGUCUUUCUAUGUAUUGCAGAUCUUAACGUUCUUGCAAUUCGGAGGGUACAUCCUUGUGAGGAACUCCAAGGAUUUGUUUCAAAGUUUUGGGUUUGACACACAACCAGUUCUAAUAGGGCUCAUCAUAUUUCAGGUAAUAAAAUGCCUUGCAAUGGUUUCUUGAUAGGUGAUUUAUGCUCAAGCUGAUUUCUUGGUUAACCAUUUGCAAAAGCUACCUUGAUGGUAGUCUUAAUCUGAAAUGUGUUGAAGGUCAAAAGUCCCAUCUGCUUAGGCAAUGCGAUGAAACGAUAAUAAACAUUCCUAGUCAGUGCAGAUCCAUUAAGGUUAAAAUAGUGACUGAGAACUUCUAGAACAGAAAAACGGUGUCUUAAAAAUUGUUACCCAAACGAAUUCUUCUUUUUUUUUUUUAAUGCGUGGAUGAAGAGUACAAGUCUUGGAUUAUCAUAGACCAUCAUAUGUACACACAUAUGCAGCUUGACUUACCUUAGUGUUAGAUAAAUACAAUAGCUUUCUAAUAAAUUGUUUCUUCGAACAAGAAAACUGAUAGUUGUUUACUUGAUCUUUUUGGUCGUAGCACACUGUGAUACCUCUGCAGCACCUUGUUAGCUUUGGUCUUAAUCUUGUUAGCCGAUCCUUUGAGUUCCAGGUAACUUUCAAUCUGCAAAUUGAAUUUUGGGUCAUUGCUGUAUGACGGCUCUUUGCUGUACUUUCUUUUGAGCAUUGGGAUCAUAUCUUACUCACUUUUUGCUGUGAUUCCAAAGGCUGACGCUUUUGCUAAGAAGCUUGGUUAUUCAUUAGCCCUUCGAGCCGGUCUUGUUAAAUUGCAGGUAACUGCCCUUCAAAUUCUCUUUAAUUACCUUUUCCUUGUAAAACGAUGAUGAGGGGGGUUUUUUUUUGCAUGUCAUGUGCUGAAGUGCAUUGGUACAAAUAAGUGUGAUAUGAUUAUCACAUGGCAUGACUUUUUAGGUUUUUCAUUCAUGCAAAUGUAUAAUGUCUGGUGAGGAUUGGUUUCGUGAAUUCCUGACUUGGUAUGAUGGCUUUGUAGGAGGAGAACUUGUCUGCUAUGAAUACGGAUCCUUGGUACUCGGCUUAUCACUACUCUCAUCCUCCCCUUGUUGAAAGACUGGCUGCUCUUGACGAACCAGACAAGAAGGCAGACUGAAGAAAUAAACAUUUAUGACUUUUUGAGUGUAGAGUUUAUGUUUACUUAGUGCCAAACUGUAGUCAAUCACGGGAAUCUUUUCUGUAAUUUUGCUUUUUUCUGGUAACAUCUGUUGUUGACAUCUACUUUUUGUUUCAAAAAGUGCCCCAGUGUUAAAGACGGCUGAGUUUGGGAGGAAUAGCAACAUGGUAGGGAAAUACUAGCAUAGUGGCAGUAGGACGAAAUGACUCUUACAAAUGUCUCUGCUAUCAAAAGAAAAACAAUUUUCGAGUCCUCAGCUGGUACAAAAUCACGAGUCGUUACUCCUACUCAUGAAGUUUCUAGGUAUUCAUGAAAGGGUUUUUUUUGGCCAAAUAGUAACAUUGAAAAAGAAUAGUGGAUCAACUAUGAAUGCUUUAAAGUUAUCACUCAGUCCUUGAGUUGCAGUAAUAUCUUUGCACAAGAAAUUUAUCAUUUAGCCAAAAACAUGCAUUGCUUUCAGUUCUUAUUUGGUGCCCUAAGGUCACCAAAUAGACAAACCCUUCAUGAAGAGGAGGGAGAUGAACAAUAUGGCAGCCACAUUUGGAGAGUCCAAUAGGUAGAAGCAUAGAUUAUCCGGCCUAGAAAACUGACCAAUGAUUUAACAGUUGCUGUAAAAAAGUUCGUCAUGCUUCUUGCUGGAAGAAUAGCGGCGGAUGGACUAGUGUUAUCCUUGUGCUAAGUACUGGGAUUUCUACUUUCCAGGUUCGGCAAUUUGGUAAUCUUAGCAAAUCGAUUGGAUUAACCUAAAAUCCUUCCCCUCCUCAGCUUCCAACUUGAUGCGUCCAUUGUUUACUCUUUUUCAACUUUUUCUCUAUGGAUUAGCAUACUCUGCUAUACCAUCCCAUUUCCCAUUACCCUCUUGGAAAGUUGAUGCAAUGAGCGUGCAGUUAAACCAAUAACUUUAGUUACUUAGCACGCCCUGAUGGCCAUUUUCUUAUUUGAAAAAUCCUAUGCCGGACGACACGUUACUGAAGCACCUAUUUGAUUUUAGAGAUUCUCAUGUCUGUAUCUAUCGCUGAGUUGUUUUUUCAUAAGUGGAGUCCUUCUUAUUUGUAUGCCUUGGAUUGUGUACUUCUUAAUAUGCGUGUUACCGCCCUGUAAUUGGAAUCACAAUUCUACACAAGCUUCUCCUCACAGUUGAAAUUUGCACAGUAUGGACUUUUCUAACAAGAAAUUCAAGGAAUCACAGAAAAAUCGCUCUCAGUUCAAGGGGAGGAAAAAAAACCAAGAAAAAAGUUGGUUGAAGAAAAUGAAAGCCAGAGCCAGCAAAUGCCGAUGGAUGAAUGCUUCCUUCCCAGAGAAAGAAACGACCCGUUGCAUAUGACGGCCAACAAACAUUAUUAUCAGCAGAAGAUAAGCAAUAAAUUCCAAGCAAUUAUUAUUGUCUCAUUAGUGAACCUUUAAGUAAGCAACAUAUAUAAAGUGACAGCUAGCUUACUUACCCUAAAAUAAUAAUAAAAAAUUAAAAAGGUGACCGCUAACUUAGUACUGGGUUACUUAUUUAAUUCCAUUCAAUAGUCAAAGAGCAUUUUAUCUUGAGCAAACUUAAAACAAAUAUUAUGCGACCUACCUAUUAUGAUGGCCAAGUACGUACAAUGAUUAGGGAUAGUAUUCGUACUAGUACUAAACUACUAAUCCAUCAUUAGAUUUAAACAAAUUUUAGAAUGUGUAUCUGCUACUAAAUCAUGAGUCAUGACCAACUGAUGCGUCCAAAUACAAGAAUUACGAGAGUACUGUACUUGUCACUUAGUUCGUACGUAUUGCAGCCCUCAUCAUUAUUAACAUAUAUCUUGUCCUUUAUUUUAUUAACCUAAGAACUACAAAGGAAAAAAAAAAUUCGUUUAGUGGCCCAUCUCUCUUAGCCAUCAAAAUGAAUGCUGAUCUAUUUGGCUUCCAAAAGGAAAAAAAAAAUGCAGAUUGACUCCCAUUGAGUGAUUGGGUGAUGGGGAUUACACUAUUCCUCCUAUUCAAUAAACUAUUAACACGAGUAAUUCUUCUUGUUAUUCACGAAGCCCAUUAAUCAAACCUGCACUAGCCUAGCGUAGUCUCGCUUCAAAUCAUCUAUUCCGGAUUUUGUUUCUGUCCCGUCUUUAUUUAACUGUCACAUGUAUUAUGCUGCUGGACUUAUUCUCUAAUAAAAUUCUAAAAGUUAUUGAUCGUUGGAUUUAUCCGUAAUAGAUUCCUAAGAGUUAUUAAUUAAUACACGUGAUAAUUAAACUCGGACGUAAUCUGGGACAGACGGUUUCAAGCAAUGUAGUCUUGUCUAAAUGCCGUAGUGUAGGACGUGCAGGGGAGUGGCAUUAGGGCAUGGAUCUUAUUUAAAGUGACUCCAUUACUAAUUCUUGGGUUAUUAUCACUUUACCCUUUAAACUAUAUCACUACUAUCAGUUUACCCUCUAAUAUUAUCUUUUAGUUACUUUACCCCCAUAAGUAAUUCAACUCAACGUGUUAAGAAAUUUUGGACAAAUAUACCCUUUUUAUUUUAUAGCAUUACUACAUUGUUAUUAUCACUUUAUUCGUUUAGAUUAUAGUGAUAUAAUCACUUUAGUUCCUAACAUUAUUUUCUAGACAUUUUACCUCAUCGUUAAUCUAACUAGUAUGGUCAAAAAAUUUGUAACAUAUUUACCCUUUUUUAUAUGUAAUUAAAAAUAAAAAAGUUGGAAUGAUUAUUCUUCCUUUUUUUUCACUUUAAAAGAUCGAAAAACAUAAAAAUAAAAGGGUUUUCUCAAAUUUCUUUCUUUCACAUUUAUUAAUAUUAGGAGAAGAAAAAGAGAUAAGAAAGAAGAAGACAAAAAAUUAGAUUUUGCAAAAAAAAUAAAAUAAAGAAAAGUCUAACAUUAUCGUAUUAGUUUAAGGUUGUCGAGACUAGGAUUGGAAUUUGGUGGUAAACAAAAAAGUGAAAUAAUUUUAAAAUAAUAAAAGUAUUAAUUCUUUUUUAUUUGUAAUUUUUAAAAAAAGAAUUGAGCUCUCUCUCUCCCUCUCCCCCUUCCCUUCCCCCUCUCCAUCUUUCUAUUUUUUUUCAACAUUAAUAAGAUUGUCAAGAAGAAAGAAAUUAAUACGUUGACUUUUUUUCUUGAUACUAAAAAGGAGAAGAGUCACUUUAAAUUAUUAUUAUUAUUAUUAUAUAAAGAGAAGGGUAUUUUCUUCUAAAAUUUUUUAACUUGCUAAGUUGGUUUAAUGGUACGAUAAAUUGCCUAAAAAAUAACUAUAAGAGGUAAAUUGAUAAUAAGACUAUAUUUUAUGGGAGUAAAGUGAUAAUAAUUUUAAGGGUUAAACAUGUCUUUUCAUUCUAAUUAACAAAUUCCAUUAAGUUUGACUGUUAGUCUUGGGAGUAAAGUGACUAAACGAUAAUGUUAAGGGGGAAAUUGAUAGUAGCACCAAAUGUUAAGGGGGUAAAGUGAUAAUAACCCUUAAUUCUUACUAUUGAAAGGCUUGAUUAGUGGAUUACCUACAUCUACGGCAGUUAAUGCUAUUUAAUUAAUUCAUUCAGUCAUCCUUCAUUUACGUGAUACUAAUUGCUAAACCAAUACACACUGCUAUUAGUUAAUGCUACUAGUUGUUGAUUGCGACACCAAUUUGGGGGUUUCCACGAACCAGGUGUUAAAUUUUUGAAAAAAUAAAGUUAAUUAAGAACAACAUAUAAAUACAAGAAAAGGUACUAGUUAGUAUUAAUGUGUGUAUUCAAAUAGUAGUAAAAUAGGCGUAAUUUAAGCGUGUUAACAAAAGUUUACUAGGCAAUCGUUAGAAAAAUCUUAUUACUUAACGUGAGUUUUUUUUCUUCUAGUAUCAAAUUUGGAAGAAAAUAUAGGUUAUUCAAAUAACUCAUGUCGCAAAGAAAUAGCUAAGACAAUUUACAUCUUUCAACUCCUCUUAUUUUACUUUUUAUCCAUUCUCUUGAAAAAAUCUUUUGGUAUUUUAUUAAGAGUAAAUCUUAUAUACGUUGAUAGUGUAUAUACUAUCAUGAUUGGAUAGACGGCAUAUAUAUAAAUUUUGAUUUUCAAGUUUAAAUUCAGAUUAUAUGUCAUGUAUUUAAUAGUAAAAGUGUAUAUACUGUGUCAAUAUAUAGAAAAUUAAUUCUUUUACUAAAAUGAAUGAGUGAAAGAAAAAAGUCUAUUCUUGUCAUCAUUAACUAAUCAAUGCAACAAUCUAGAUCUCAUCAUUGAGGAAAAAGAGAAAGAAAACGUUCUUUAUAUGUGUUCUUCUGAUAAUUCGAUACUAACUACUGCACAGUUUACUUUCAUUGGGAAUCUUAAAAAACAAAAAAAGUUCCAAGACUUCUCCUACAUUAUUUUCCUAAACAAAGUAAGUUCCUAUACUUAAAUUAGCCAAUCACAAGUUAUCUCCUACCGAAUAAAGGUGUAUACUUAAAUAAGCCAAUCACAAGGUAUCUCAUCCCCGUGAAUCCUCCAUUCCGGACCACAGGCAUUCCAACGAAUUUUCUGUCCCACUUCUUGACAAUCUCUAAUCUAUUUUUUAUUAUAUUAUUAUUAUUUUUUAUAAACAUCAUAUUUUAAUUUUCUUAAUUUUCUUAAUAUUCAAUAAUUGUUAAUUAAGUAAAAAUAAAUACAAAAGUCUCAAAAAUAUAUAUAAUAAUAAAUUAAAAAAUGCAACAAGAAAUUCAUAAAAAAUCUCAUUUUUUUAUACAUUUUGUUUUUUGGCAAAAUAGAAGAUUCCUUGCAACUCCUGGAUCUCAUCUAACAGUAACACUUGCUUUCCUUACUUUCCUUUCUUUUUUUUUUUUGGGGGGGGGGGGGGGGGUGGAAAGAUUGCCUUACUUUAGCCUCAUUGUUUGUUUCUAAAUUCUAAUCCCUACCGUUAAAAUGGGCCCGUGAAUCACCCAAGUCCAACGGACCUCGUGAUUAAGAGCUUCCUAGCACAAUUAUGCUGUUCUCCACUCCCAAAAGUCCUCAAAAUAGCUCCCCGAAGAAAGGCAUCCUGGAGUGCCAACAUUUUAUCUUUAUUUUUAUCAUUUUUUAGAUUUAUUGUAAUUAAUGAUUUCAAAAAAAAAUAUAUAUAUAUAUUAUAUUUGAUGUAUGUUCUACCAUUAAUACAGAUUUAUAGAAUAAAAAUUAUCUUUUUUUAAAUCAAAAAAUCCUCAAAAUAGCUCCUCAGUAUUCUUCUCAUACAUCUUUUUUUUUUUUAAGCCGAUUUGAAAACUCCAUAAUCAAAGAAUUGUGAUGUUUUUUCUACCCUAAAAAAGUUUUGUUUUGCCAAAAGGUUAAAAUUAAAAAGUUUGUGCGUUUGGCAGAAAGUAAGAAACUUGACAAGUAAACAUUGGCAAUGGAGUGGCUUUGGGAUAGGAGAAACUCCGCCCGACUCCCACUUUACAAAAGUUCCUCCGGCCCCAUCCCACUAUUAUUAUCUUUAUUUAUAAUCAUUAUAUAUAUAUAUAUAUAUAUAUAUAUAUAUCUAAUACAAAUAGUUUUUUUAUUAAUCAUUACUUUGAAAUUUCAGCAAAAUAUUACAUCAUUUUAUUAUAACAACGUAACAUGUUACUUUUCUUUAAUGCGUUGCUUAAUUCAUACAAAUAUAUUUUUGUAAUAACAAUAACACAGCAUUAAUUUCAUAUUAUACAUAUAAAAACAUACAUAAAUGUUAUACUAUAUUAAAAUUUAGGCGAGGGGAAGGGUAGGGGUAUGUUCCUCUGUCCUCCAUCCUAUUUGGGGUGGGGGGAGUUCGGAAAUCCCUUUGCCCCACCCCAUUUUUUCACUCACGGGAUUGGAAUUCACUCUGUUAUCAUUCCUAAACAUGUUUUAUAUAGCAUUUUAGAGUAGUUAUAAUAUGAUUAGGGGUUUUGGAAAACCUACAAUCCUUUGGUUGCAAUUUAUCUUUGGAAAAUCGUCAUUCUUUUGACAACUUAAAUGGAAAUAAACCUCUGAAAAUUUAAUGCCUACAUCCCAUUUGAUAGUCAAUUACUAGCAUUUCAACUUUCUGCUAAACACUUUCGUUGUAGGGUAUGGUAGAGUCUAAAUUUUUUGAACAUUGAAAUGGUAAAUUUUGGUACUUUUUUUUAAAAAAAAAAUUUAUUCCAACAACGGAGAUUUGGGAUUUAAGUUUCAGAAGGGAAAGGAGAAUUUGAACUUAGAUUCUACAAGUCUUGGUAAAAUUUAGAACCUAUGCUUUUUUUUUUUGUAUACCCAAACCGUAAAGGAUUUUAAAUAUAUUUUCCUAUAACUUUGAUAUGUUCUGCUGCAAUAUUUUUUUUUUUAUAAAGAGUUUUGGAUGUAUUUUACGUGUAGUGUUUUACGGGAUUCUCAUUUGAUCCCUUGAUCUUUUUUGCUUAAGGGUAUGCCCCCUUAUUAUACUUGCUCAUCAAUGAAAAUUUGUACAACUUGGAGAAAUUUUUUAAUACUUGGCAUGAUUUUCUUUAGCGAAUAUAAAGUUCUAUAGGAAUUUAUGUAGUGUUAAAAGUUGCCUUAAUUUUUUUUUAUUUUUAACAAGUGUAAUAUACGAUGGACCGAUUUCAAGGUAUCUUUUUAUAAUUUCAAGCAAAAAAAAAUUUUUUUUUUCAAAAAGGAAAAGUCGAGCUUGGGCAGUUUGUUGCACUAGUAGCUUAUUAUAAUUCUUUAAAAAAAAAAAAAAGCUUAUUAUAAUUCAAAGUGGAUUUGGGCAUCAAUUUGAGUUUAAAUUAAUUGGUCUAUCAAUUGAUUUAAUUAUAGCACUAGUAUUUAAGGUUAAUUGUUCAAUCAACAUAAAGCAAAACCCUACUAAGUAGACUACUUAACCAACAAUAAUUAGGCAAAGCCACCUCCUAACGUCAAAUACACAGAGAGAGUAGUGUCUCUGUGAAUUACUACAAAACACAGCAAAUCUUAUUAAGACCAGACAGUGAGAAGUGAGAACACACACUCUCGCACACACACUCUCUCUCUCUCUCACACAGACAGUGAGAGAAAGAAAGAAAGAAAAGAUUCUCUCCCACACACAACUCUCUUUCCCAUUUCAUCUUCUCCAAGAUUUCUCAUUUGUUCACUGCAAAGCUCGCCUCUUUAAUUUGCCUGACCUCGCCGGAAAACAAGACCCCCCCCCUGCAUUUUCGGGCAAACAACAUCCACGUUUACUUCAGCAUCCGGGCAGGCAAUAUAUAUCCCAUUGAUUCGAUGACACCUCAUAGCUUCCUUUGAUUAUUUCAAGCUUGAUAAUCCCAUUGUUUCUCCUAGUAUUCGGCCGGAUCCCACUUCAAGUGUACAUGCACAUUUACAUAAUUCAGAUGAAUAUUGAUAGCUUAUCAGUACAAUAAGAGACGACAGUGACAGCUGCAGCGGCUAGUAUAUAGUGAAGAGAUGUCGGUGUACGAUGCGGCGUUUGUGAACAGCGAGCUAUCUAAGCCAACCUCCAUAUUCGGCCUGCGGUUAUGGGUGGUAAUUGGGAUUUUUGUGGGAGCCGUGAUUGUUCUAAUCCUUUUCUUGUUGUCUCUUUGCAUCACCGCCUAUCGCCGCCGCACCAGCAGCACCGCUAAACUUCACCAUCCCGGAAAGUUUUCUGGUGCAGCCGAGCUGACCCCAGUUGUUUCCAAGGAAAUCCAAGAGAUCGUUCAUGAUUCCCACCCCGAUCACCGCCCCAUUGUCCCUCAGGCAUGUCUUCUUUUAUGUCUACUUCUUGCUGUCGUGAUACUAAUAUAUGCUAAUUUACUGCUAUUAGUUCUUAAUUUUGAAGUAUGAAGAAAAAAGAGUACAUUUUUAAUGACAAAAUGUUGACCAAAUUGAGUUGGGAUUGUGGAGUUUCUUUUCGAUCUUUACUUCAUCUACAAAUUUGUUUAAUUUGUUUUGGCAUAAGGAUAUGCAUUAUUGCUGAGUUUUGUUUUAUUUUGCUUUUUCUUUAUGAUGAUGUAUAGGCGUUGCCUGAGAUUCAGAUAGACAUGGGGAAGGUUGAGCACAGGGUGGUAUUUUCGGACAGGGGGGCAUCGAGUGGGGAGAGUAAGGCAACAAGUGGGGCGGAGACAGGGUCGUUCGGUGGUAGUGGGGCAUUGCCAGAGGUGUCCCAUCUGGGGUGGGGAAGGUGGUACACUUUGAGAGAGCUCGAGGCAGCUACCGAUAGGUUGUCUGAUGCGAAUGUGAUUGGAGAAGGUGGAUACGGGAUUGUGUAUCAAGGUAUUCUGGCUGAUAAUACCAGAGUUGCCGUGAAGAAUCUGUUGAAUAACAGGUAUGGGAACUUACAACUAAAUUAGCUUUAAUGAACUGUUGGUUUGACUUUGGCAAGAGUAUGAUAGAUAAUCAGAUGGUAUCAUAAUGGUAUUCCAGGCAUUGCAUACAGUGUAUUGUCACUAUAACUGCAUGUCUCCAAUAAUAGCAAUGAAUACGUGUUGCUAUUUAGGAAUUUUUUUACUCCGGAGGAACCAUUUGUUUUUUUUUUGUCCUUGUUACACCAUUUGGCAAGUUAAAUUUAGUAUUUGUAAUUGUCAGUUUUCGCUUUUUUAUGCUUGUCUUGAACAAGUUUGAUUUGGACUUUAAAGCAAUCUGCUUUCAGGUGAAUAUGCUUCAAUUUCUAUAUACCGUGAAAAGUGCGAAUUUUACAACACCAAGAUGUAGUAUGCUAUUGUAUUUAGGACAUAAGAUCUAAGCACUGUUUGGAAUGGUUCUAUUGUCGUGGGGUGCGUGAAAAUGAUAGCUUUGGCGGUUUCAUGUACUGGACGUUGGCUUUUGGAACCUUCAUCCUCACUUCAAACAGUAAAAAGAAUGUCCUUUUUUUCUUUUGCUCAAAAUAAGGGAAUUAUAGUUUUGUGUUGUAGUAGCAGUGCAUUAUUCUCCCUUCCUCUCAUGCUUAAACUCAUUGGAGUAAUGACUAUCAGGGGGCAAGCAGAGAGGGAGUUUAAGGUUGAGGUGGACGCUAUUGGGCGAGUGAGGCACAAGAAUCUUGUCAGGCUGCUGGGAUACUGUGUCGAAGGAGCUUAUCGGUAAUGAUAUGCAUCUCAGUUGAAGAAUGCACUUCGAGUUAUUAUUAUCCCAAAAGAAGCUGAUUGACAUGUUGUGCUUGUUCUUUUUGUGCAGAAUGCUUGUAUAUGAGUACGUGGACAAUGGGAAUUUGGAGCAGUGGCUCCAUGGAGAAGUAGGGGAAGUCAGUCCUUUGACUUGGGAUAUACGGAUGAAUAUAAUAUUGGGAACUGCAAAAGGGUAUAGACUUUAGAUUUGUACUUCAUCAAAUGUCCAUUGUUUUAUUUGAGUGAGUUUCUUGCGUGAAUGUUGUCUGCUUGUUUAAAACUUUAUUUCCUGACCCUUGCAGUCUGGCAUAUUUGCAUGAUGGUCUUGAGCCAAAGGUUGUUCACCGUGACAUUAAAACAAGUAAUAUACUACUUGAUAGUCAGUGGAAUGCCAAGGUGUCAGAUUUUGGACUUGCAAAGCUGUUAAAUUCUGAAAGGACUUAUGUGACAACUCGUGUCAUGGGCACAUUUGGGUUCGUUAAUUUCAUUUCUGAAGUAGCUUACUUGUUUUGUCAUAUGACGUUGAAGUUUUGCUAAAUAUCAUUGUUUUCUAGUUAUGUGGCACCAGAAUAUGCGUGCACUGGCAUGUUAAAUGAGAAAAGUGACGUUUAUAGCUUUGGAAUACUUAUCAUGGAGAUAAUUACUGGUAGAUCUCCAGUUGAUUAUAGCAGGCCACAGGGAGAGGUUAGUACUCAAAUUUAUGCAUAUCUCAUAGAUUCCCUUGUUUUUUUUUUUUUUUGCAUUGAACUUCUCAAUCACCUCUAAAAUGGAAAAUGGUAAACUACUGACAGGUUAAUUUGGUGGAUUGGUUGAAGUCCAUGGUUGGAAAUCGAAAAUCUGAGGAAGUGGUGGAUCCUAAGUUGCCAGAAAUGCCUAGUUCAAAAGCACUUAAACGUGCUCUUCUGGUUGCCCUGAAAUGUGUUGAUCCUGAUGCCCAUAAGAGACCAAAAAUGGUGCACGUAAUCCACAUGCUGGAGGCAGAUGACCUGCUGUUUCGUGAUGUAUGCAUCUUAUUCUCUCUUUUUCUUCAUCCAAGAACCGCUACAUCUGAAUACAAGAAUACACUUACUAGGGGGUCCUCCUUAUUCACUCUCUAGAUUUCUCACUACUUGCAUACUUACCUCCCUCUUUUUGUUCUCCCUUGAUCUUCAGGAACGACGAAUUGGCAGAGAAUCUGCUGGUUCAAAUCGUGAGUACAAAGAAAAUAAUCUUGCUGGUUCCAAUCGUGAGUACAAAGAAAAUAAUCUUGCUGGAGCAAAACUAGUCAACCAACCAUACGGCAACGGUGCAUCUAAUAAUAGUGAAGGUGACAAUGGUACGAGCCAUGACUUGCCAUCUAGGUGGAGAUAAUAUUACGGAUGGGAGAUGUCAGUAAUAAUGUAGGUUUAUGCAAAUUUUGAUGCUUGCUAAUAAGCUUAUUGCUCUCAUUCCAUUAGUUUUGUAGGAUUUGUACUAGCUUCUUCUUUUUUUUGUGAUAUAAAAAUAUGAAAUCACCAUUGGAUUAUGCCUCAUAAGUUAUUGAAUCAGGUUUUAUUGUAUGCUAGAUUGGUUGACUGUUUUGUACUACUUAGAAACUAUAAGUCGCAUUGUAUGUUUCCAUGCUUGGACAGAGUAUACCACAAGAAGGCAUACUUCUAAGGAUUUGGGGCAGGGACGGUCAUCAGUAUGACCGUCCCUGCACGGUUAAAAAUUUGUGCGGCUGAAAAUUGGCCCUCAAAAUUUUGUGCGGCUGAAAUAACACCAUGUAACUCGAAAUCCGCGCCAAGUGUGGGGCCCACCACUAUCUGUUGUGAAAAUACAUCCUGUGAAAAAAAAGUUACGCGCAGUUGAACCAAUGUUACGCGCAGUUGAAAUGAGCUAAAAUUGGCAGGACGGUUGCAGCCCCGAGUCCUACUUCUAACCUUCUCAUUUUUCUACUGCAAGUUCAGUUGUGUACUUGUCUCUGUUUCUCUGUUAUGUUAGCUAGGUUGUCUCAAUCUGUAUGCCGUACUCUAUUCUUUUUCCGCCGCAAUCCAUGUCGAUCUCAUGACAGGUUAAUUAAGUGCAAAAGUAUCCAUCAAACAUCAUCAGAGCAAGCGCCGUGAUCAUAGGUAUGCAUCAGUGCCCCACUGAGACAGAGCAACUAUAUGGGAGGGUGCGAAAUGUACAGAAAAUAAGACUCCAGACUCCAAAUAUCGGAUUAUUAUAGGGUGGUGGAGCCUUUGGCCAGCGAAUUUGGUUCAAGCCAAUUCAUUGCAACUCCCCCGUGUCUUUCUCAAUUUAUGUAUUGUAUGCCCUGGUUGGUGUAGGAUAAGUCAGGCAAGCAAAGCAUAUUCCAGAGUGGAAAUGGGGUCAUGGGAUUUUUCUUUCUUUUUUCUUUAUUCAAACUCACUUUCAAUGUCUUGGCUGGACAAUUGGACAAUGUGCACUGCCUUUGGAGCAUGACAAGGACACCUACAGUUUACAUGGUGUACAAGUGAGCUGUCUGUGGCUGUAUGGGGCUACUUUCUUUCCUUCAAUUGGUCCACAUUCUUUACUAGUAACUGAUUCUUUUUUCUUUCUUCAGAAGAGUAGGGUAUUAGUCAUUUCGUACCAGGAUGAGGAAAUAAGACACCACCUAAUUAGUGGGCUGUAGUCGGUUCAAUUGGAUGCUGCUACUAUGGUUCCAUUUGGUUCAAGGGCCAAUUGCAAACGUUACAAGGAAAACCAAAUCUCAAGGUCAUCCAUUUUUCUUCUGUUUUUUUGUGCGGUUGCAUUUCAUCUCUCUGUCACGGUUCUGUUACUUAAAACAAUAGGUAACUCUCUACAUUGAGCAGAGUCAGAAAUUUCCUAACCCAUUUCGUGAUCACAUUUUCUUAUUACCUUUUUUUCUCACAUACAUUAAAUCGCUACAAUAAUUUUUCUACAAAAAAUCCUAAAAAAUACAAUCCAAACAAGGCUAAACAAACCUAUUUAAUUAAGUUUAUUCAUACCCGUCCAUGAAUAAAUGGGUAUAAGUAUCUUAAAUUUUUACAUAUGAGUAUUAUUGGGUAACCUAUCAAACCCAAUUAACCCAUUUAGAAUUAUCUUCUCCCAAACCUCCUCUCUUCCUCCACCCAUUUUUUUUUUCAAAUUUUUCAUUUUGUCAUGAUAUUAACUACUUUUGUUUUAUUAUUAUUAUUAUUAUUUGUUGGUUUUAUCUUAUCAUUUUAUUUUCUCUUAGUUUGUUAACUUGCUCAUUUUUCAGCAUUACCAAUUUAUGACAAAUUUUAGCCUCUUUUCUUACUUUUCCAAAAUGAAAUUUUAAAUUUACACACGAAAAAAUGUUAGAAGUUCAAAAUUUUUGGAUUAAAUUUUUAUGUUAACUUUUAUAGUAUUUAGUUCAAAUUUUUAUAUUCUUAUUGUUUAAUUAUUAAAUAGUAUGUAAUUUUGCAACAUAGAGUACGGAUGAAAAAAAAUUGAUAAUUAGAUUUAUUGAGUAUUAUAAAUAAAUAUUUAAAACUAAUGAUGGGUGCAAAGGAUGGUAUAAAUUGAUAACUUAGUUUGCAAAAAUGAAUUUAAAUGAAUUUACAAAAAAUUAAAAUAAAUGGAUUAUAAAUGGGUAAUUGAGUUACCCAAUUCAUUUUUUGACUUACCCAUUUAUACCCAUCUAAUUAAAUAGACAUAAAUAAAUUGACUCACUUAUAUCCAUUACCCAUUUUACCCACUCAUCCAAAUCACCCAUUUUGACGCCUCUAUCCUUUCUCAUGCCGUUCUUAAUUGGUCUAUACUCUAUAGGAUAAACAGCACUUUUACCUGCUAAGAAAAUGGAUUUUAUGUAGUACUAGUUUUAGACAGUAGUCUGCUAUUAUAUGUGUACGUGAUUAUUUAAAACCUGCAACCAGUAAAGAGAAGAAAAGUCAAAAGUGUAUCAUCCAUCAUCCAAUAAUUAGGGAAGUGUGUAGGUUUUAACCACGGGAGCAAAAGUAUUAAAUAGCUCUGGGAAUGCAAGUACAAUCAUUGAGCUGCUUGCGCGGAAGUGGGGGCAAGUUGCAGAUUCAUGUGAUGCGUUAAUUGAAAGAAGCAUUUUACAUAGAAUCCAGCAAGAAACAGCUCCAACUCAGCCUAAAAGGCAACUGAUAUUGACAUUAGAAUUCUCAAAAUACUAGUACUAAAUUUGCACCUCAAAUCAAUAGCUGAGACUCUAACAAUAGAUUAGAGUAGAAGUAAGGGUAGUGUCAAUUAACUAUGUGAAAAACAAAUGCUAGCACAUGAUGAAAUGAUGAAAUAGAAAUAGAAGGUUUGAACGCUUGACUUUUCAUCCCACAAAAGGCGCUUAAGGAUUUUAUAGCAACCAACGGCCGGAUAAGCAACCACUGGACCAAUGGCUCUCCUUGGACUGUAGGUUGAGGGUUCAAACCUCACCUGGACCCGUUGUUUUCCACUUCUUCCUUUCUCCUCGUUCUUUUUGUAGGAACAGGAAAAAAAAAUGGGAAAAUGAAAGUUUUUUAUUUUCCCCAAGCUUAUGUGCCCAUUAAUUCAGGGGGUACAGGUCCAAUAUGUACGUAGGCCCAAAUGUGGAUGGAGACCCAUAUAUACAUAGGCCGAAAAGAUGAAACUACAAUUCGACCUCUCUCAAGAGUCGAGUCCAUAAUCAGUAUGGAGAUAUUUCUAGAAUUUUCUUCACCAUUGGAUGGUAAUCUGGUAUUUCCAGAUUCCCUUGACCAUGAUGAAAGAAGUGGAAGGCCUAGAUGGACGGUUUCCACACUUUCCAGUGUUGUACAGAGUCGACCACACUUGUACCAUAUGACCCCGAUUUUAUGCGAAGAAAUGUGGACGAAGAGUAUUGGAGAAAUAAAUUCAAACAGUUUAACUUAAUGCAUGUUUUAUCGGAUUUAUGAUUUCUAAUGCAUGUUUAACUUAUCAUUAGGACAGUAAUGUAAAUCAAAUUAUCAAAUUGUACUAGACGAUUUUCAGCAAUCUAUUAGUAGAAUUUGCUUUUUAUAAAAAGUAGGAUUUGUACACAAUGUCCAUCAAAUACCAUGUUGAACAAAAUGAGGAAUUUGUUAGUGCAAUUAAACUAAAUUGAUCCUUGAACGGAUUUUUGUUUAAGCCAUUUCAUGAUAAAUAUUUCAGUAUACGUUUCCACUUGCACGUGUAAGCAUCUUCCCCAUCUGGUCAACCACUAAAUAAUGUUGUUAAAUUCGGACCGGAUAGCAAUUCGACUAAACUACUAGAUCAUGGGUCAACUGGUCGGAACAGUCAGAUCGUUCUAAAAAAUCCGUUUGACGUUAGCAUGAUGUCAUAAUUAUUUUAUAUUUUUAUAAGUUUUAAAAAUAUUGAAAUUAAGUUCUUGAUUAUAUUCGACCAAUCAUAUAAAAUGUUCCAAAAAUAUUAGACUUACAAUCAAAUAUAUACCUAAUAAUUAUAUAUAAAAAUGUAAAUUCAUGAAUAAAAUAUGUCCGUUCUUCAAAACUACUUGAAAAUUAAAUUAAAACAAAUUAAUGCAAGUUGAAAUUACUUAUGCUAAAUUAAUAAGAUUAUAGGGAUGAAAACAUUUUGAUUUAGAGAUUAUUCAGAAAAGUGAAUGAUCUUGAUAUUUAUACUAAAUAGGUGCCGUUUUCUUAUUCCUAUUAAUAAAUGAAACUGUUACAAUUUAGGUAAGGAAAAAUAAGAGAAAAGUUUGAAAAUUGGAUUAACUAGUCGAACCAAGUUAUUGGUUUAGCCGGUUUCGACUAAUUUUUUUUAUCAAAACGAUUUUGUGCUACAAACUAAUUCAGAAAGAAGGUCGAUUCAUGGUUGAACUGGUCAAAUCGGCCAGUCCAAACCAGGUCUAACAACACUACCGCUAAACAAGAGUUGUUUACUAUUUCUAAAAGAACACGAUUAAUUUUGGGAUUUUUGUAAAUCAUAAAUCCAACAUUUUUUUUGGUUUAAUCACUCAGCAAUAUCAAAAUUAAGUACAGUGUUAUUCUUGACAUGCACAUUUAAACUAGUUUAAGGGUCUAUUUGAUAACAUAACAAAGUGUUGAAACUGAAUUUUUUUAUACAUUCAGAUAUUUUGGGUGUUUGAUAAAUAAAAAUUGAUCUGUUGAAUUUGUGUGUACUUUUUUUAGCACAAGAAUCGUAAUUGAAUAUUUAAUUCUAAUAAGAAUCAACAUAUUUAUUUCAACUACUUUACAUUAGUGUGUUUGGAUUGUAGGUUAUUUGUCCAAAUAUAUUUGCUUACAUCACCAUUACAAUUUUCAAUACAUAUUUUUAUCUUCUCAAUUACCUGUUUAUCUCACAUACAUUACAUCACAAAAAGGUAAUUAGGUAAAAAUAUCUCAAAUAACUUACAAUCCAAACACACUAUUUGUUAAUUAGGAUCAAAAUUCUUAUCAAAUUUUUUUAUUCAAAAUUCUUAUAUAAUUCUGUAUCGAGGGAAAGGAAAAGGUAAGUGUAUGCAAAAAUAUACUAGCUAUUUGUGAUUUCAACAUGAUUUUCAUAUUCGUUUUUGCGUGUUGAAAAGGUGUAGCACAUGACUUUAGAGUUUUGUCAGGAGCCUUAGCAGACCCAACAUGCAACUUUCCUAUUCCUCCAAUAAGUUAAAUUUAUUUGAAAUAGUGUUUUUUUUACAAUAGUUUUCAUCCACAAACAUUUAUACUUUGAUAUAUAUAUAUAUUGUGCAAAUAGAUAUUAUUUAUGUGAUGCAGCUUAUCCAUACACACAUGGCUAGGCCUGUCAACGGUCCGGGUCUGGACCCGGACCCGGCCUGGAUCCGUGAAAUUAUUGCGGGUAUGGGUAGGGAUUUAAUUCCGUUACCCGGACCCGGACCCGGAUCCGGAUCCGUUUUGUCAAACAAAAAAAUGGAUCGGAUACGGAAUAUAGUAUUCCGACCCGUAUUAGACCCGGAUCCGAAUAUAAAUGGAUUAAUAAUUUAAAAUAUGUAUAUUUAUCAAUAUAAUUUGAUUAGGGUAAUGUAUUUGAAUAAAGUCAAUUUGAUUUAUUUUCUUAUUUAUUUUUUUUUGUAUUAGUUAGAAAUUAGUGUACAAAUAUAUUUUUUUCUCAUUUUUAUUAGAAAUUAUAAAAUUUCAUAAUUUUUUUCGGGUAGAUCCGGACCCGGAUUCGGAACAUAGAGUAGAAGACCCGUCGGGUAAACGGGUCGAAUCCGAAUCCGAUUUGGUAUGCCAGGUCCGGGUAAAAAAUAAUGAAUUCCGGGCCAGACCCGACUCGUUGACAGGCCUACACGUGGCUUUAUGGCACCAUAUCAAAAUAUUAGAUAGUGGUUGUCGAAUUUUCAAAAUGCUUCUCGUCCAAGAUCAAAAGAAUAACGUUUUAACCAAGUACAUGCAAAUUUGAGAAAUGUAAUUGAACAUAUUUUUGGAGUAUUAGAAGCUCGUUAUCCCAUUUCAAGAUGAUAAAACCAUAUCUUUUUUCCCAUGCAAAGAAACAUUAUUGUGAUUGUAUGCAUUGCUCUUCACAAUUAUUUGAGAAGAAUUUCUACAAAUGAUUAUUGGUUUCAACAAUAUAAUGAUAAUGAUGCUAUAAUACAAAAUGGAGAAGACGUCAAAGAUGACGAGACAAGCGAAGAAGUAGGAGAAGAAUCCAGACAAGCCGAUCAAUUAGUCAUACAUAACAUACAUGAAGAAAUUACAAACAAUCAUUUCUAAAUUUUUUAGGUCGGAUUUAGAUGUUAUAUGAAUUAUUGGAUUGUAAUAUUUCUUUUAAUGUUUUCUAUGAUAUAUUUCAUCUUUUAUAUUAAUUUGAUUUAAAAAUAAAUAUUGUCAUUUUCAUACCUUACAAUUUUAAGCUAAUUAAAUCAUAGGUUCUAUUUAUUUUUUGGAUGAAAAUAUAGAAGGGCAAAAUUGUACAAUUUAGCUUAUUAAGCAGUUAGUUAAAAAUGUUUAUCAAACAAUAUAAAUAGGUUUAGUAUUAAAAUUCAGCCUGUUAUAUAUUUCUUUUCAGUGCUUAAAAUUCAGCAAAUUAAUUGUUUCAGUGUUUAGAUUUCAAAAUUCAAAUUCAGUUUUAUCAAACGAAACCUAAGACACAUUCAAAGUUUAAAACUCAAACUGAUUCAUGUCAAUUAGAGGUUAAAUUACAGUCUUGAAAAAUGAUUGACGUCAAAUUGAAAUUUAUUAUACAAAAUUAAGGACAAAUUCAAUAGUUGCUUUAGAAUUUUCUAGUAAAAGGUCCGUACAGAAAUAGGCGUAUAAAACGGUGUAUUACCAAGAUUUCAGCAAACACGCCACAGCCCAUAACAUGUGAGCUCGGCCCACCGAAUAUCAACGGUCCGAUUCUGCCGACAGCAAUCUUGUAAUUUAAAAUUGAUACACCACUCAUACAUCAGCACGUAUGCAUUCCACGCAAAUUUCACAAACCCCGUGGUUUAGAUGUCGCCAGCCCCACCAAGUCCUCAUCUACUACUUCAACCCUAAAAAUUGCGAAGACUUUUUGGACAAAUUCUCAUCUGUUACGCGUCCCCUUCCCUACCACUUUCCUCGACGCUUCCGCUCUCUCUAUAUCUCUCGUAUCAUUUCCGGUACGGCCGCCUUUCAUUGUAUCUACAUAUAUAUGUUGUGUGAGAAUUUCAUAUAGGGCUGCUGACUUUAGAUGUGUGUACAGUGAGGGUUUCAUUUGAAAUUUUCGUUUUAGAGAUAAUUUAAGAGCGUUGACUGAUUAAAUCGGUCGUUUAAGUCGCAGAUCUACAUAAUCGGUGGGUAUUUUUCUUGUUUAUCGCUGAAAUUUGGUUAAUUUUGAUUAAGAAAUGGUGAAUAUUGUUUGUAUGAAUGAUUUUCUGGUGGAUGAGGGUUAGAUCUGUUUGAUUUGUGUUUAUACUCAGCUUCAUGGCAUGGAUCUUAGCUGAUUUUAGUAGAUACUAAUAUGAAGAGUUGAGUUAUUCUAUUUUAGAUGGUGGUGGUGGUGGUGGUUUUUUUUUUUAUAGAAAAUUUAAUGCUUUGUUGUUUGGUUGUGCCUCUUUGGUUGAGAAAUGAAAUCCUGGUUAGAUCUAGUCUAGGGUAUGUUAUUAUAUUCUAUCGCCUUUUCGGUUCUUUUGAAUAUAUCUAAUUUAUUGGUUUUUUUUUAAAUCUAUAUUUUCUUAGCCAUUUUCUUACAAGAAUAAAGAUGGCUUUUGCAAGUCUUUAGGAUUUUUUCAAUCUUAUUUCCAUAAGAUUGUUUAUAACUGUUUGGCUCGAAGGAUGAUCUGAAUUUAAUGGCAGGGUGCUCGUUUUAUUUAGUUCUAGAUUUUAUUUUGUUCCUUGGUGUUUGUUGUCUUGAUGUCGUGUGUUUCGUUGAAGUGUGCUUGUUAAAUAAUCUAGGUAUUGCUGGAAAUAGAUUGAGGGAGUUUAAGAUUUUCCAAAUACUCAUUUUGUUCUUUUUAAAUUUCUGUCCGUCAUAAAGAGGUGUAUUUUCAAAAUUUUGUCUCUAAAUUGUUUUUGCAUAAUCAAGGAUAUCUGAGUUUUAUACAUAUUUCAACUGUUUUAAACUUAGGUAAUUUCCCUGUUCGAUUAUGUUCUGAUUUUUUUGGGGGAUAACUAUUGUGCUUUCAGUGAUGUGUUGGCUUGUUAUUGGUUCUUUGGUGGUAAUUUGUACUGAAAUGGGCCUGUUUUGUCCGUGUAACAUGCAUCUUACUUGUCUUAAUGCUUGUGCAGUUAAUAGUCCAUUGAAAUGAGCCGCCCACAGGAUCCACACAGGCCUUCUUUUCCAUUUGGAAAUCCUUUUCGGAUGAUAAUGCCCAAGGGCUCAUAUCUUUCUCCAAAGCUUACUGAACUGUUGAACUCUUUCGAGGAGUCACUAGCUCAGCGGCUUAGAAAGCUUAUGCCUGCGGACAGGGAAGAAAUAUUAAGCCUGUUGUGGAUGAAAUGUGCUGUGGAGUCUCUUUCUGCUAUUCAUACGGACAUAAAGACCCUUAUCACUGGACUUGAACUCCCUGUCAGUGAUUGGGAUGAGAAAUGGAUUGAUGUAUAUUUGGAUAAUAGUGUGAAGUUGCUGGAUAUCUGCAUCGCUUUCAGCUCUGAACUUUCAAGGCUCAACCAAGGCCACCUAUUUCUGCAAUGUGCCUUGCACAACUUGGAUUGUGCUUCCUCAAAGCAAUUUGUGCGUGCUUGUUCAUCGCUGGAUGGUUGGAGGCAUCACAUUGGUUCAAAGAACCCCAGGAUGGAGAACUGUUUUUCCAUAUUGGACAAUCUUAUCAAGACACUUAACCUUCCUAAGAUUAAGAAUUCUUCCAAAGGGAAGGUACUGAUGCGAGCUAUGUAUGGAGUAAAGGUUGUCACUGUCUUUGUUUGCAAUGUGUUUGCUGCUGCCUUCUCGGGUUCUGCAGAGAAGUUGUUAGAUUUACAGGUUGAGGAGACUCGUUUGUGGGCAGAAGCUUUUGCAGGCCUGCAGGGCUUUGUCAACGGGGAGAUAAGAAGUAUAUACUCCAGUGGGAAGGCCACAGUUUUGAAAGAACUUGAAGCAGUUGAUGCAAAUGUAAAGAAGUUAUACCCCAUUGUACAGGAGGGGGUGGGUGAAGAGGCCGAAGCAUACAAGAAUUCAGUCUCUGAUCUAGGGAAAAGGGCUGAAAAACUUUCACAAGGACUAGAUCUACUUGCAAAGGAAGUGGAUGGUUUUUUCCAAAUUGUUCUCAGCGGGCGUGACGCUUUGCUUUGUAACCUUAGAGUUGGUACUAACGUUACUGACCAAUUACAAGAGAAAAAAAAUGUAGAGGUGAGGUGAACCUGAUGAUGGUCACUUCUCUCGUGUAAGCACCGUUGUAGUGAUGGGGUUGGCUGACGAUGUUUGCAGUAUUACUACAUUAUACGAGUGCGUACAUAGUGUUGAAAGGUGUGCGUUGUGUGCUACUGUGGUUAUGCGUGAAGCAUGUUUGAACUUCUGUGUAAUAGCAGCACUAUAUUGUAACUGUAUGUUUGCGCAUACGUGUUUUCAGAGCUCGGUCUUCUCCUGCUGUUUCUACGUCUGUUUUUUUUUAUUCCCCAUUUUAUCUUUACUUUUUUUUUUAAAGAGGAAUAGUCUCAAGCCCAAUGGGAAGCACAUUUUCCAGUCAUUAGCUAAGCUUUCCUCUUUCGUCUCCUGAUCGCCUGGUCAAGCCCAAUUUAUGAAUUCGAUUAAGGAUAAUUUCUUGUACAAUUGGAGAUGUCACAUAACAAUUUAUCAUGUUUUCAAAAGGCGAAGACGCCCUCCCUGGGUUAUAAUGUGAAUUGUUUAUCAAGUAGAAGGCAUUAUAGGUACUUUAUUAUGUCAAGGGAGAUAAACGUAAUUAUGUAAACUUGACGAGACCCGGGUGAAAUUAUCCCUUUGCAAUAAGACUACUUAACAUAACAUAGACUAUAGAGAAAAUAAUGCAAAAUAUAGAGAAAAAAAUAAUUUUGAUAAAUAAAAAAAAGAAAAAAAAAGUAUUUAAUCACGUGUGAAACUGUCCUACGGCUUUCUUGUGGCGAGAAUCGACCCACGAUCUUGCAGUAUUUCGCGAUCACGGCCAUGUUUAAUUUUCUUUCUUCUUGUGCUUCCUAUUCUAUUCUUGCUGGAGACCGAAGCUGGAAUUCAAAUCAGAGCUCCCCACUCGUCUUGGAAUCGUGCAAAAGCAGAGAGGAGAGAGAUAGACAUCCAAUUCCAAUCCAACAGAAGUAAAAGGAAAAAAAAAAAUACAAAAGAGACGAGGAAAGGAAAAGGGGAUCAAUGGGAAAGGGAAGCUUCCGUUGAAGUCUUAUUAGUCUUUUAUGAUGGCGGGCACCUUUGACCACAUGUUUUCUUGGUCAGAUAGAUUGUAAAUCCUUUCCUCCUAGCCUAGUCUGUGGGUCGGAUUAUCAAAAUACUCACAAACUUGUCAACGAAGUGAUGAAAUUCAACAAUCAGAUAAAAACCAAAUACAACGAGAGGAUAUUGAUCAUUAUUUUGACAAUAAGUAGUACCUAGUACUUAUUUUCUUUGGUGGUCGGUAUGGCACUUAAAUUUGAAGUCAACUUUCUUGCAUGGAUAAGUAGUUUAUAAACAUGAUGAGGCAGUAAUUGUAUUAUGUAGUACUCUAAACAAAGGCAAACUAAAAAUCAUUUAGGAAGGAUUAAAGGAUCACUCAGGCAGAGCCAAAGAGGAUUUCUCAUUUCUCGUCUACAGAAAAACACAAAAGCUGUUGUUGGAUUGAAAUUUAGCAGAAAACAAAAUCGCAGGUCCUUCUGUUCUGGGGAAUAGUAGGGGCCAGGUGUGUGGUGGAAUAUCCAUGUCUACAUUUAUGAAGGUUACAACGGCCAAAUCAUCAUAUCGAUAUCAUCACUCUCACAGAAAUUGUAAAGCUGAUAGGCCAUAUGAGUGCUCCUACUAGUAAAAGAAAAGAAAAAGCAAACCCACAAUUAAAAAGUCCAAUUUACUUCACGGGUUACCACCAGCCAUUCCAGUUCAAAAGUUCACACUUCCCAUUAGUAAUUACUUAACCCACCCCCCGCCCGCCCCUUUUCUCUUUCUAGAAAAUACUACGUAGUAGAAAAGAGAAAAGAAAAACAGUAAAAAGAAAUGUCAAAAAGGUUUCUUCCUUCUUCCACGGCUACCGACAAGUCUUUCAAGAACUCCAAAACCUGAGCAAAGACUCGACUUUUUGAGUUGGGUUUUUGCUGUUUUGAGUUGGGUUUUUGUUAUUUUUUGUUAAUUUCCAUUCUUUAGUUUGAUUUUAUAUAAGCGAAAAGAAAGAAAAACAGAAGGUAGAGGAGAAUUUGAUUGAUUAUGUCUGUAGAGUCGAGCUCAGGUUCAGGAGAUCACCACCAUGGUCAUAAUAUAAGAGGAGUGCCAACUCAUGGUGGGCGUUAUGUGCAGUACAAUAUCUAUGGUAAUCUGUUCGAAGUGUCAAGAAAGUACGUUCCUCCUAUUAGGCCUGUGGGUCGAGGGGCUUAUGGCAUCGUUUGGUAAGCGUAAAGCAGCUUUCUUUACGUGUGGGUUUUACCUAUUUGCUUAUGCUUUCGUGAUUGAAUCUGUUGACGCGUGGUGUAAGUGCUGAUUUUGGUAAUUACAUCAUAAGGAUCUCAAAUUGAUCUUCUUUGGUGUACAGUUGACGCUAAUUUCCACAGAAAAUUCUAAAAUUAACUUUUGUUAGAUUUUGGUAGUUUACAUAUUAAAAUUCAUUUUUGGGAAUUCAAUAGAGGUGUGAUACCUGCUGAUAAAUCAUUCAGAGAUGUGGUUUUAUUAGGAAAAGGAAUUUACAGUAUUUGGGUGAUCAUUUAGAGUUGGGAGCUAGAAUACAUAAUGCAUAUGGCUGAGAUCAUACUUGUUGAUGCCAAAAAGGUGGGAGGGGUAAAUAGGUGAUGUAGAUCUACUUGAAGUCUUGAAAAUCUUCCACCUAAAUCUGCAAAAGAAAAUGCAAAAUGCUAAUCAGGUCGGAAUUGGGGGCAAAACCAUCUGAUCAUUAAGUUCAUGAUUUAGAAAUCUGGAGAUUAUAUCUUGUGUGCAAGUCUGUAGCCUCAAUAGUUAAACCUGUUAAUCAUAUCUGCUAGUGCAGUAUUCAUGGAUGAAAUCAGGGAGACUGGUAGGGUGCACUAUUAUGGUUGCGUAGUCGAUUAAUGUGUGAAACGGCAAAAUGCCCUCAUUACCAUGCUAGACUUGCUAUUGUAAAUGAUUUUAACUUAAAUUCAACUAUUACGACAAAAUAUUAUCAACUUUUUUGACGUUGGUGAUUUAGCAAAUCAUGUCAAUGAAAUUCUCUAAAGUUGCUUGGCUACCAGGCUUAAGUUCUACCUUUUACUGCUGCUGCAAAAUACUCUCAGGGUCUUUUCUUGAAUGCCUUCCCCAUUUCUAUUCCACAUUUUAUGGGACUUUCAAAUUUCUGAUGUGCAGAACUCUAUGCUGCAUUUGCAUGGAUAGGAAUAUAGUUUACCAUUUCUUUUGUCCUGUUAAUUGUAGAAAAUUUCACCUUAAUUAUGUCCCUGAAUUUGUUUGUAGUUUCCUUUGGUUCUAGUCAUUUACUUCUCCCGGAAACCUUUUUGACAUUCACUAUUUUGGUGAUUUUCUUUCCCUACUUAUUGGAGAUGAUCCUGUGUAUGACCACAAUACAAUAGGUAUUCAGAGUAAGAACACAUUUUUUUUUGUUUCGUCGUGAACCCUUGCAUGUAGGUAUUUAACUCAAUAUCGAGCAGUGCUGAUUCGAUGCAACCAAUUGGAUUGUUAUUUGAUUUCCUUUAUAAAUUCUUAAGGGAUUUGGAACUUUAACAGGUUUUCUUGCACCUUUUGAGUUUGAGUCGGAUUUUAGUUGGAGACUGCCAAUUUCAUUUAGAUGUGCUAUUCUAAGGUUGCAUGUAUUUACAUACAAAAAAUUUUGUUUGAUUUAUGUCAUUGUAAAAAAAAUUUGUGAUUAUUUUUUCGUAUUUGAUUUAGUGCCGCUAUGAACUCAGAGACACGGGAGGAAGUAGCAAUUAAAAAGAUUGGCAAUGCUUUUGACAACAGAAUUGAUGCCAAGAGGACACUGCGGGAAAUAAAGCUUCUUCGUCACAUGGAUCACGAUAAUGUAAGUAUCAUUACUGUAUCAGUUCUCUGAAAGAUUGAAGAUUUGAUUCAGAUGCAUGUUGUGCUAAUUGGUUUACUACCUUUGUGUUAGCUGCUGCUAUAGUACUUCAAUUGUUUUAUUGUUAUAGAAAUUUUGUUUAGCUGUUGUACUAGCUGGGUAAACAUGUUGCUACUUGGUCUUCAUAAGCUUUGCAUUUUCUUUUCUCAUUGCUUCUGUUGUUUACAUAUAUUUUUUUUCCAAGUCUACAUGCUAGAAAUAAAGUCUUCAUUAGUUAUAUUUUAUCCAAAUCAAGAGUGCCACAGGACAACUAUGUGAUUGACUUGGGAUGAGAUGGAAUAGGCAAUCUUUAGGCCUGGCUCCUUUAAUUUAAGUUUGUUUACUUGGGGGGAGGGAGUCUAAGUGUGAAGUUUCGGGUUUGAGCCUUCCCACUUACGCUAAAAAAAAAGUUUAUUUAUGGAAAAAUGUGGAUAUGCUUGUUUUAUCAACUAGCGAGUCCAUGAAGAAUUAAGAUUGAGCUCAAGGUGGACUGUUGACUACCUUUGUAGGUCCUCACAAGAAAUUUCUCCUGAGAAAGUUACAUCAGUAAAGAUAGCUUUUUUCCUGAACUCAAAUGCACAUAGCAAGUAGAGUCCUGGAUUGCUCAACAGUAGUAUCGAAACCCACUAUCAUUUAUGAUUAUAUAUAGUUACCGAAUAGCCUUAAAUUGCACUGAUUUCAAGACAUCCUGCAUCUCUCCUUCAACUUUUAUGAUCUUCCUUUCGCCUUCAACUGGUAUGUUCUUCCCUACCUUCCGUUUCUAGUCUAAGAAGGCAACCAACAUGACACCCAACCACCAGCUAAUGAAAAGUAAAUGUAGAUGAAUGGUAAGAUGCCCACAGCUAUUCCUGUAUAAAAUGUCAAUCCCUUUAUAAGCAUUUAGCAUUGUCUAGAUACAUAGCAAAAGGAAGCAUAUAAAGAGCAUUUAAAAACAGGUGCUUAAAUCUCUCGCAGCCCCGUCACCAUUAAAACACACAUGUAGUGUGAAGUUGGACAUGUUUUCCAUGCCUAUGAUUAUUCUGUUGCUGGCUUUGACAGGAAAUUACAUUGCAAAAGGGGGCGUGAGUGUCUUUUCUUCUAACGUAUCGGGUUAUAACAUAUAAUUGUGAAUCUCCAUCCUCUAGGGGACCUCUACAACUUUCCCAAGUAAUUUCCAGAGUAUUGAGUGUCACUAUGAUAGUGCCAUUUGAUUUGGAAAUUUUGUCAAAGCCUUCAUCGAAAACUAUGUACCAUUCACUCUGUUGGCCACAGAUUCCAUUUGUUGUGUUCUUCCCUUGGUAGAACUACAUAUUUUAUAGAUGUUUGAAGGAAAAUGAUUUCUGAUUAAGCUUUUUGAUCUGUUUAUGGGUUGUCUCUUCUUACAGGGAAAGGAAACUUACACGUGAGCAGCAGUAGCGCUCUCUGUAGGCUAAUAUAACACAAAAGUUUUUUUUUUCUCCCCCUAAAAUCAAGAGGCUAAAAUUAACAAAGCCUUGUCUAAAAUACUAGAGGAUCUCUUGAUUGUUUGCAUUUUAUGUCUCUCUUCUUUUGAAUUGUGUUCAAACCAUUGUGUCUUCUUUUGGGUCUAAAGUUCUUAAAUUUGGUUCGGUAAUUGUAGCUUACUGGGAUUCUUCAUUUUUAGAUAUAUUCUAACUUCGUGCUGUUUCUGUUGGCACAGAUAAUUGCACUGAAAGACAUUAUACGGCCUCCGCAAAAGGAAAACUUCAAUGAUGUCUACAUUGUCUAUGAACUAAUGGACACUGAUCUUCACCAGAUUAUUCGGUCCAACCAACAGUUGACUGAUGAUCAUUGUCGGGUUUGGAUCCAUUCUCUAGCCGCACAUACAAGAAUUGCUUACUAUAUAUAGCUAGCACCAAAGAAUUUCAAAUGCUCAUAGCUUAUCAAAAUAAUCUUUUUAUUUUACUUUUACGAAGAAAAAGAGGUCCUUUUUUUUUCCCCUGGAAACUGCAAAAAGGGCACCAGUAUGUUAUUUUUAAUCAUAUAAACUGUUUAUUUGUGGGACUCCAUUGAUUAAAAAAAAAGGUUAAGAAAACUGUUUAAAAAAUAAAAUAGAAGAAAUAUACUCCUUGAAAUCCUUAAUGGAUGUUAUUUUUUCCAUCUUUGAGAUAUCACGCAGCAACAGCAGGCUAGCUAAAGUUCAAUUAUUUUUCCCUUUUAGUUGUAUUUACUUCCUUCCUUCAAGUUAAAGGUGGCUAUGCCUUUAGAUGUAGCACAGGAGAUUCAUGUGGUGGAAUGUUGGUAUUCUUGAAAUGGUCCAACACAAGUUAUUUUCAGUGGAGUUUUUUUUUAUGUAUAGGUGUAAUUUCAUAAAGUGAUGAUGAUAGUCAUGGGUCUGAUAGUUUGCAUUUGCAAUUUACUCUGUUGUUUUUGAGUUUGACCUUCUGGAAUGAGCUUUUCUUUUGUCUAUGUUCAUGUGCUUGGGUCUGUGUGAGUAAGAGGGGAAGGGGAUGGGGUGUCCAAUGUACAGGACUGUUACAUUUUUUUUUUAAUCUUCUUCAAUGUUGAUUUAAAAUUGCAGUACAUGACUUUUUGACUGUUAGCCUUGAACUUCCAUUCAUGGCAGUAUCCAAGAAUUUCAUGAUGAAGUUUUGGCCUUGCAUGGAGAACUGUUGGUGUCUACGUUGGGCAUUCAACAUUAAUUUUCAUCUAAUUAAACAUAACAGGCCAAUUGGAUAUUUGUUCUCUGUUCCUAUUUGUGUUCUAUUGUAGUGAUUGUGGUGUUUAUGAUUUAAGGAUCUUUGAAACUUACAAACAAAAUGAACAGGAAAGAGAUUUUUUUUUUUUUUUUUUUGGGGAAAUGAAAGUGGAGAGGUGUCAAAGUUAUUCAUUAUGUUUCAGUUUUUCUUUUUAAUAUUAACCUAACACUUGUGAUAGACUAAUGUGUUUAUGAACCUAUGCGCUAGUACAUGGUCUUAUCACCACUCCUUGGACAUGAUAUUUCUGUUACAUGCUUUGUGCAGUUUUUGAACAUUCUCCAGGCUCUGUUGUUUUGAUCUCUAUGUAUUGGAUGAGUCUAAUGAUUUGCAUUACUAUUUAUGCAGUACUUUCUUUACCAAAUUCUACGAGGACUUAAAUAUGUUCACUCUGCUAAUGUGUUACACCGUGAUUUAAAACCUAGCAAUUUGCUUCUCAAUGGAAAUUGUGAUCUUAAAAUUGGAGAUUUUGGGCUUGCAAGGACAACAUCUGAGACAGACUUCAUGACUGAAUACGUUGUCACUCGCUGGUACCGUGCACCAGAAUUGCUACUAAAUUGCUCAGAAUACACUGCAGCAAUUGAUAUUUGGUCUGUAGGGUGCAUACUUGGUGAAAUUAUGACAAGACAACCCCUCUUUCCUGGCAAAGAUUAUGUUCAUCAAUUGAGACUUAUAACUGAGGUAUGUUCGUUAUAUCAUUUAAGAUGAUUUGUUGUGACAAGUUCUGUUGCAAGUUUGCAGGAUAUCAUUUGUUUUUUUGUGAUAAAAAGGAUGAGGAACAUCUUUUGUGGUUAAGAUUGAAUUUCUGCUUUCUUUUCAUGUAUAUUGCGCUCUUAGCCUUCUAGUCCAGACCUUUUGUGCUUUGAACAGUUAUGAGUAGUAUAGAUACCAUAAUUCCUUUGUGUAAUCAAUUUCUGCUUAAACAUUUAUUCUUUAGCUACUACAUGAGUAAGUUCUCUUGUUACAGAUUGACUGGUUUGCAAAAAUCCAAUUUUGAGUUUUGCAGGAUAAACAUCAGAAAUGGAGAAAUUUUUACAGUGGGAGUAGCACAUUAUACUGAAAUGUAUGCGUUUUCUAUGGGGGAAAUACCAUCUUGUGUAGAAAAUGUAAUUGUUUAAUUAAAAAAAAACAAGAGAAUCAUCAUAGCUUAAUAGCAUUUUGAAAAAAUAGAUGAUUGAAAAUAAGAGGUAUGCUUGAUAGAAUUAGAAAUGAUUGGAUUGGAAGUAAGAGGUAAUACUUGAUAGAAUUAGAAAUGAGUGGAUUGGUACCUUCAUGAAAACCAUACUGGUGAAAUCCUUCUACUUAUUUAAUGUCUUCAAAAUUUCUGCCUGCUCUUGUUCAAUGGUUGUCCAAUAGUUUGGAUUUGGAUUACUUCUGAUUCUGAAUUAUACUUGUUUUUCACUUUGCAAAGCUCAUCGGUUCACCAGAUGAUGCCAGUUUAGGGUUUCUUCGGAGUGACAAUGCCCGAAGGUAUGUUAGGCAGCUUCCCCAAUACCCAAGACAACAGUUCUCAGCUAGAUUUCCUAAUACAUCUGCUGGAGCUCUGGAUUUGCUCGAAAAAAUGCUUGUCUUUGAUCCAAGCAAACGGAUUACAGGUAAAGUAUGAUUAAACUAUUUCCGGUGCUCUCUUUGUCCAUUUAUUCUAAAUCAAACUUUUGAGUUGAAGUUGAACGGUAAUAUUAUGCUGACUUCUUGUCUUGUUGUCAUGCUUCAAAACAUAAGUUGGGAAAUUAGUGCCAAAAAUUAAGAUUCUCUCUGGAAGCCAAGUUUUUUGCCAAGUUUGUCUGCUACAAGUUUUUUAAAAACUUUAGCUACAGUAACCUCAAAAAACUUUUCAAAGUUUUUAAACUAUACACUUCAAAAUAUUCAAAAAAAAACACACUUCAAAAUUUUUUUAAAAAACUUCUACAAUAAGCUACAGUAAAGUUUUAGACAAACACCAAAAAAACUCACCUUCCAAACGGGGCCAGUGUUUGGCAAGGUUGUCUACAUAGUUUUAAGUAUUUCAGUUUUGAGUUUGGGUAAAAAAUCACUUUUUUUUUAAUGCUUUUGGGAGCACUGACACUUAACAUUGGGCAAAGGAAAAAGGCAACAAGCAGCAUUUUGAUCAUCAAGAAAAUAGAUGAAUUUAGCUUUCUGAGCACGACAUUUUAAUUCAAGCAGUGUAUGGUGAUUUAGUUGUAAGUUGAAUGUCUGGACAACUUGAAGGUGGUCAUCAAUUUUUUUGGAUGAACAGCCUAAAUAUUUUGUCAAUCAUGCGGUUUUCCCUGGUGGCCCUGAUGAAUGGCUCUUUUUGUUGUUUCUUGACAGUGGACGAGGCACUUUGCCACCCGUAUUUGGGACCUCUUCAUGAUAUCAAUGAGGAGCCUGUUUGUCCUAGGCUUUUUGUUUUCGAUUUUGAGCAGCCAUCCUUCACUGAAGAGAACAUCAAGGAGCUCAUUUGGCGGGAAUCCGUAAAAUUUAAUCCGGAUCCUACUCAUUGAGAAUGGAACUAAUGAUGUAUAAACAAGUUCUUUGACCGGACUUCCACUGAAUACUUUGUGUUGUAUCCAGAGUGAAACCCCUGAUUAGGAUCAUGAAAUAAAACAAUGGAAAUGUUGAGGUUGACAAAAUUUCUACAUGGUAGAUCUCAUUAGAUUUUUCUUCUGUCAUCUUCUUUGUAUUUUAAAUGUUCUAAUAUUGUACAAAGAAAUUGAAGCAGCGUUCACAUAGGCUCAACUUACAUCUAGGAAUGCCAAUUUCUCUUUGGGUGAUCAAAAGAGAAGGAUCCCUUCUUGCUGCGAGCUUAUCUUGUAAUUUUCUGUUCAAUUGCAUAACUCUAAUCAAAUAAUUUAUGUUAUCGAGUAUCAAGGCAACUGAGUAGUUGUCCUAAGAACUUUGCAUAGUUUGUGAUUUUGCUGGUCUGAGGCUUGCUACGCUUUGACGUUGUAAAAGCACUGUACUAUUUCCUCUGUUUUGUUGAGACAUUUUGACAUUUCCUGACAAGGAGUACGGUUCUGAUUUGCCAGUCCUAGCAGCAUAGCAUUAUUUCGGUUAACAAUGAUGAGGUUACUCGUGAAAGGUUAACUUCAGUCUUGACUGCAGUUCCUUUUGUAAAUCAUUGCUUUGAGAGAAGUCUAUCACGGUAGAUUGUGCUAUAAAUUUGACAAAAAAAGAAAAAGAAAAGAACAGUAUUACAGAAUUCUGGCUAGCAUAUAUUUAAGGGCUUAACAGGUUCGGCGUCUAUAAUAUUGGGGCGGACUUAUCAUACAGGAAGGAGCAACUGAAUGUCACUGGCCUAUGAGCAUGAAAAUCAUUGAAAUCUAGAUAAUGUAAAGAAACCAAUGUAGCAGCUAAGCUACUGGAUAGAUGAGGUUUGCUAGUACCUUAUUUGGUAAGAGCAGCUCCGUAACUCAACAUUUUCAAUUUCCAGAUUCUCCUGGGGGAAAUCACACAUUCCAACUUUUUCUGGACCCUGAUCAGGCAGUGACGCACAAGGCGUAGGCACCACUCCACUGGCAAUGCCUUCGACAUCAGCACAAGUCCAUGGAUAUUUCUUCGCCUUCUGUGCCAUCCCUAUGGUCACGUUAGCAAUGCAUAUUCCAGUGAAUGGGUCCCCAGAAAUUCCCUCGAGUCUUGCUGCCAUUUUCACAUCGUCAGCCACCACAUCCCUGUAAUUGAUUCCUUGUAUCGCAGGCAAUGCAUGAGGGUCAUAGUGAUUGUCAGCGUGCGAUCCAUAGUUCCCAGUCAUCCAAAAUACCCAUUUCAUGGUCUGCAAUUUCAUGCCUUUGACAUAUAUGUCUUUGACGAAGCCACCUCUACCAACUGCUGUCUUGAUUCUGACCCCUGAUUCUGUGUUGAUGGCCACAAUAUCUUGGGCUCUGACAUCUUGAAUUCCUCCAGACAUUUCACUCCCUAGUGCUAUCGCGGCACUGUAGGGUGAAAUGCAGGUUAGUCUUCUGAUGAGGAGUUGUUUUGUUGGCAUCCCGUAUGAUAUGCCAUACUCGUCCCACCCACUUUUGACUGCUAUACAGUCAUCUCCAGACACAAUGUAACUGUCCUCAAUUCUUGUGUUUGUGCAAGAAUCUGAUCACGAAUGGGAACAUUCAGAUUUACCUUAGUUUUGAUUAUUCUUCAAGAAACUUAAAAAAAAAAAAAUCAGGGGAAUUUUCGUGCUCUAGGACAAAAACAAACCUGGGUUGAUUCCAUCUGUGUUAGGAGAAGUGAUUGGAGCUGUGAUAGUAAUGCCUUGUAUGAUUAUAUUGCUGAAACAUUAGAAGCAAAAAAAUGAUCAGUAUAGUUACCAGCUACAAAGCCAAACAUUAGUUGGCUACUGAUUUGCUAUUACAACACAAAUUAUUAUUAAUCAAACGAAAUAUAUUCAUGUGCAGGGUACAGGACAAUUUGCUGCUGAACCAACAAUUGAAGCUUUUUUCUCUUUUGGGAAGGGGAAUAAAAAGUUACCUGCUGUAGACAGGAUGGACAUUCCAGGAAGGAGAGUUGACAAGGGUUAGAUUUGAUAUCUGAACAGUAUCAGAAUGCAUGAUCUCAAUUAGAUAAGGUCGGGUGAAUUUUAGCUUUUUCUUGUGGAACUGCUGCCACCAAAGAGCUCCUUGGCCAUCAAUUGUGCCAUUAUCACCUAUGCAAUAAUAGCACAAGCAAAAAGUAAAUCCAUGAUUCAGUCUUAGAAUUAUCUCUAUUCUUUCCAAUGGAUUAGUAGAGUUAUGGGUUAGUUUAGCAAACCUGUAAUCACCACAUCAGUGAGGUUUGUCCCAAACAGGAGACUAAUGUACCUUCCUCCCGCGGCAUCUCUUCCAUGGCCAUAUGAUGGCAAGGGGUCAACAACUGGCCAACUACCUAUAUCCUGAUGAUCAAGAAGUGUUACUAAAUUUAUGAAAUCAGUAAUUCAGCCAAUGUUUGAGAAUUAAUUUCCAGAAUCCAUAUGAUUAUUGAACAGUAUAAAAGUGGAAAACAUGCAUGAGCGUUAUCUGGUUAUUAUUUGCUAUAAAAUGAACAAGGAUGUUUAUCCCUGAUCCUGGUGGCCAAAUUGUUUAACAAGAACUGAUUAUAUAAAAAAGAAAAAGAAGGACGCUGAAUUAAAAAUGUGAAGGGAAAUGGAACCUGAGAAGCCAGAAGAACAGCAUCCUUGUGGAGAUAAAGAGUGAAAUGGCUGGUGAGAUUGAAGCUUCCCGUCAACCAUUUGCCUGCAGGAACAUACAAUUGAGCCCCACCCUCUGAUGCAUAUUGGCUCAACUGAUUCACUGCCUCCUGAAAGGCCUUAGUGUUCAACGUCCUUCCAUCUCCAACUCCCCCGAAUUCCUCUAUGGAUGCACUGUGUCCUCUGCAACUUAUAGCCGAGUACUCGAAAACAUCAGAUGAGCCCUCCAAAAUUCUUGAUUUUCUGCACUCAACUCUGCCAAUUACGCAAAUCACUGCCGAAACCAGCACGAGAAACUUCACCACCUGUCAAGACACAGCCAAAGAAAAAGGCGAUUAUUACAAUGAAAAUGUCCCGUGCCACUUGGUUGGUUUCUGGACAAAUCCCAUCUUCUGUUUUUGUGCUCUGUAUCCAUUAAAUGGUUGCAUUUCCAGAAUGAAUACAGCCAGACAGAAGAUGAAAUGUGGUCAGUGGAGAUUGGUCGUUCGCUUGAUUGUAUAUGUAUUACUCCAUUAGAGGGACUAUUGGAGAACGAGAGAGAAGAAGACAUGGACAUGGAAGCUUACUUGAAGAAGACUAGGGAAGCAUUUCCGCAAGGAAUCCAUCUCUUUCUUUCUGGGAAUGUUGUAUGUAGUAACUAGUAGUACCACGUUAUGAUGGAGAGCAUGUCACGGGUUCAGAGUAUAUAUAGACAAAAAACGAGAGAGAAGCUGGCUGGCUCCUCUAUACUCCCAAACAUUCUUGCUAAUCUACGGUUUGAUUAGAUAUUGAGCUUAAGAAUCUGUGGUGUUCACGAGAUUUUCAGUUCACAAGAAAACUCUUCCAUUAAUUAUAGAAUUGAGGUCACUUUUCCGGGACAAGCAAAGCACGUAGGUUUCUUUAAAGUAACCACAAUCUGCCAAAGCCAAACAGGGAAAACAAUUACUCACACUCUUUGACCUUUUCAUCCUUUUAAUCAUGGUACCUAAGUUAUUAGAAUAGAAAUUAUCGAUCUUUGAGCGUUAGGGGUGCAAAAUUGAUGACAAAUAACGGUCCAACUCUAAUUGCUCACCAAAUUAGCAUAAUAUGUCCAGGCACUGCGAAUCUGGUGUAUAUUAGUAGUAUAACAGAGUAAAAGGAAAACAAGUAGAUUAUUCAUUGUCAAGGGUGGACGGUUUUUAAGAGAGAGUGUAAGUAAGAGGUUUCGAUUCGAACCUUCUCAUUUAUACUAAAAAAAAGGGUAAAUUAUUUAUUGAAAAAAAAAAGGCAGAGUAAAUUAUUCGUUGCAAUUUUAUGCAAUAUAAAAGUGUGAAAGAAUUUUUGAGAAAACGAAUACUUGUGGUCAUCUCAGGGCACCGAGACAGCAAUCAAUUAAGACUGUACAUUUAUCUAAAAUCUUGAAAACUAAAUGCUACAAAAUACGAUGCUCGUAAUCAAUAAUUGAGUUAUUAAAGCUAUAAAGCAUGUAAAUGAAUUUUUCUAACGAGUGUCCUUAGAGUACUUAUUAAUACACAUAGUAUUCACUUAAUUUACUAUAUAUAUUAUUUAUUUUUUAAAUUAAUUUUAUAUUUUUCAAAAAUAUAACAUCUAUAAUACAUUUUAACGAGUACACUACGGCACCCGGUCAAACAAACCGCAUAUAAAUUUACUAUUGGUAAUUCUUGAGCCUAGAACAAUUGGAAAAGCAUCAAUUAGCAUAGUCUAGCAAGCAUAGAGCAACAAACUAUAGGCCCGUGAGCUGAAGUGGGUGGGUCAUGUCUCUUCUUUUUGGCUUUUAGGCCGGUUCGGUUGGAAAGUAGUUACGGAAUCAGUAGUGGCUCCCAUUCUGAGGAGCCUUUUAAAAAAAAAAAAAAAAAACUAAAUUCGCUAAAUAUUAGUGUCUCGUGAUGAUCACCCUGUGCCCACUCUCACUCACCUCACCGCACCAUUGCCGACCCACUUCACGGGCCAUCGAUAAACCCAUGGCCCACCUCCGAAUUCUCCCUCCCACCACAAUCCAUGAUCCAUGAUCCACAUUGGUGUUUUCCAUGAUGUUGCCUUUUUCUGCCACUCAAAUGGAGGGACAAUGGCAGGCUUCGUUUCAUUUUUGACUUUCCUGUCAGAUAAUACAAGUCUAGUUUUUAGCCCGUGCACCAUUCAGAAAAAUCACAAAUGUAUAUAUUUUUUUUAAUGCUAUAUCAAUAAACAUGCCAUUUUUUUAGCAUCCUUUUUUUAAAUUAAUUUUUGUUCUCAAAUGUUGCACAUAAUUACUAAAGAAUGUGUGCUUAUAGUCAUAGGAUGGAGCAGUCUGUACAAGUAAAUGCAAUCAUCCAACGCUUACAAUUGGCUGCAAUGCAUGUUUUUGUUUGGGAGGGGGGGGGGGCUAUGAUUUAUUGUCCAUGCAUGUUGGUUCGAUUGGUAACAAUUGGCAAUUUAUCACAAAAGAUUAUGUGUUCGAAUUCUGCUGUCAAUAUGAAAAUGGUGUUAGUAAACAAUCUAUAAGAAUCCCUGAUCUUAUGAUUUCAAGAACGAAUCCGAAUCCAACAAAAUUUUUUCUUAAAGAAGAAGAAGAAGAAGAAGGAGGAGGAGGAGGAGGAGGAGGAGGAGAAUACAUGAGAGGAGGAGGAGGAGGAGGAGGAGGAGAAUACAUGAUUUGUCGGCAGUCUUUUCAGAGAGCUGAAAAGGGCUGUUGGUGGUCGAUGUCAGCGAUCAAAUAAUGCAUGUUUCUUUAAUGGCCUUCUUCAUGUCGUGCAUGGAAAAGGUGACCUGUAGAUUAAUUUUGAAGCAACUCCAACUUAUUUUAUAAAGCAACUCCAACUAUGUACGAAAAACAUUUGAAUUCACCUGCAUCUAGGUGAAGGAAAGUGAACGGUGACUUCCAAGUUCCAAUGUGAGCACAUCGUUUUGUUCGGAGAGAAGUGAAGAUUGGAUUUGGAUAUUAGACGACAUAUUGAGGUAAAUAGAAAGGGGAAGUGUAGCGUAGCUAAUAAUUUUCAAGACACGGAUACCUACCACGAUUCAUUGUCGUGGCGUUAGUUUUUGGCGAAAGAAUUUUAGUGAUGAUAUUUGUUCCGUUUUUCCAAUUCUCUUGGAAAGCAAAUGAGCACGAAAGAGUAAGGAAGAUGAGUAUAAUCAAAGUACUUAAAUGAAAAUGAGUUAAACCAAACUCAAUACUAUUUUACACGUAAAUUCUUGUGGAUUAAACAUGUCACGUCACAUAAGAGAGAGCAUUUCACAAGAAAAACAAACCCAAGCUUUCAUAUUUCCAAUGAUUUUGGCACUCUAAACAAAAUUUAGGCACUCCUCCGCCGUAAACAACCAUGUCGAAAUGACAUAUAAAACUCACAGCCCUAAUUCUUUAACAAAUAUAUAUAUAUAUGUCAAAAUUAUCUCAAGGUAUAGUCGUCAAUCACUAGUUAGCAUUGACUAUACUAUAAACUCUAAUAUGGUUUAAAGUCAUCAAACUCCACCUCAAGAAUAAUGGGAGACUAAUAUAUAGACAAGCUCAAAAGUUAGGGAUGGUCAAUGAAAAUGGGCUUCUGCAGGAAGAGCAAUGGGGCGAAGCAGGAGAUGAAGAGAAUUUUUCUUUCACGCCUCAAAUGGGGUGGGAAAUGGGGCUUAGACACUCGGCCCUGUUCCCCCGGCUACAGAUAAUACCUAUAUUUAUUAUACAUAUCAUAUAUGCAUAUUUAUAAUAUAAUAAAUAAUAUGAAAACUGUGCAUUCUUACCAAUUUGUCAAGGUAAAAUGAUAUAUUUUGUUACAUUAGUUUUUUUUUUUUGGUUCUUUUCAAGUAUCUCAUGUUAUUUGUAAAAUAUAACGAUUAUUAACAUGGAAUAAUCCAAAAUAACACUUACCAGAGUCGUUAUUUUGUUAUAUAUGUUGGAAAAAUAAAUUCAAACAAAAAUUAGAGUGGCCACCCAUGGGAGAAGCGAGGCAAGGAUGCAGGUGCAUGCGGCAAGGAAUGAGAGAGACUUUGCCGUCCUAAACCCGCCUCGUUACCAUCUCUAUUCUACUAAAAGUGAUAAAUAUCUAGAGAUCAAAGCAUACUCUACAAAUACUCUCUCCGUCCCACUUUGAUAGUUCUGUUUUCCUUUUUCAUCUGUCCCAAAUUGUAGUCCACUUUCCAAUUGAAGAAUGUAGUUAUAUUUUAAUUUUCCUAAAAUACCAUUAUUCAAUGUAAGUUGUUGUUACUAUAAACCUACCCCAUAUAAUGAGAGUUGAUUUUUUUUUUACCAUCAAUUCAAAUUCCCAUAAAGUUGUACUCUAAUUAAUGUGAGGGUAUUUUAGGAAAAUAGUUACCUAAAUUGAUUGUUCCAAAAAAGUUAAUUACUUUUUCUUAAACUGUGUGAAAAAAAAAAUCAGGACUAUCAAAGUGGGACGGAGGGAGUAAUAAAGAUCAUAAUUAUUUGUAAAAUUACUUUCAAAAUAUUUGGCUUUAAGCUCUGAAAAAUUAAUUUUUUGAAAAAAGUUUAUGAAAAAUAAACAUGUAUAGGGAGGCGAGUUUCUAAUUUGAUAAAAUCUACAAUUGUUGGUCGUUAUGAGCAUAACUUAAAAUUUUAAAUAAAAAUAAAUUUAUAAAAUUUUUUUGGAUAUGAUUGGACUCCGUUACCUUUGCUCAAUUAUAAACUAAAAGUCCCCCCGUGCUUCUCUUCCCACGCCCUUCACAUUUCCUAUUUUUAACUGUUCAAUUAUACGAUUCAAACUCUAACAGCGAAAGUUGGAAGACUGACAGUAAUACAAAAUCCCCGUGCUUCUCUUGGGUCCUGCGAGGAGCAAAAGAUGCGGAAUGAAUUGGGGUCCUGCCUUCAAGGGACCUCAUAGUUAAAGAAAAUAAAGUAGCAAGUUGCGGGUUGUCAGAAUAACAAAUAGUUUGGUCUGCAAAAUUCAUCACUUUUGAUUUGUCGAUAUCCAUUUCAGUUCUGAGGACGACUUCUUUCAAAUUUCCUCUUUUUGUCAAACGAACAAUUCAGGGUAAUAGUAACUCCAUAGUUUGAAAGAGAGCAGAGAAUUCACUUGCAAAUUUGCAUCGAAUAGAAAUAAUGGCCAGUGACGAAAAUAUUCAUGUAGUAUUGCUACCAUGGUUAGCAUUUGGCCACAUCAUGCCUUCCUUCCAGCUUAGCAUUGCCUUGGCCAGAGCAGGAGUUCAUGCUUCACUCGUCUCUACGACCAAAAAUAUCCAGAGACUUCCUAAACUUCCUCCUGAUCUCGAAGGCUCAAUCGAUUUGGUGGGUCUUCCACUACCGGCAAUUGACAGGAACCUCUUGCCGGAAGGUGCUGAAGCUACAAUCGAUAUUCCGUUCCAUAAAAUUCAGUACUUAAAGAUAGCAUAUGAUCUCCUCAAGAAUCCUUUCAAGCAGUUCAUUGCUGAUCAAGCAAAAUCACCUGACUGGAUUGUUGCAGAUCUGCUCACCCAUUGGGCGGGUGAAGUGGGCCAGGAACUCAACAUCCCUAUUAUUUGCUUCUACCCCUUCUCUGCUGCUACUGCAGUCUUCUUCGGGCCGCCUGAAUACUUGGCCGGUGAGGGUCAAAAACGGGUUAGGUCAACUCCUGAAAGUCUGAUGAGAAAACCGGAAUGGGUAGAUUUUCCAUCGAUGGUUGCUUACAGAAAGCGCGAAGCUAUCGGUGUACAUGCUGGAUUUUACCACGAGAAUGCUUCAGGGAUCGCGACUGGACAAAGGAUUGCCAAAGUAAUCCAAGCCUGUAAGGCUGUAGCUAUACGUUCUUGCCCAGAAUUCGAAAGAGACUACUUCAACCUGCAGGAGAAGAUCACUGGAAAGCCUGCGAUCCCUCUGGGAUUUCUUCCCCCUGAGACGUCGAACAACUUGAGGGACGAAUCCUGGAACAACAUCUUUCAAUGGCUUGAUGAGCAAAAGCCGAUUAAGUCAGUAGUAUUUGUGGGAUUUGGGAGUGAAUGCAAGCUGAGGAAAGAUCAAAUCCAUGAGAUAGCCUACGGGCUAGAGGUCUCGGGGCUACCAUUCAUAUGGGUGUUGCAGAAACCGAGCUGGGGUGACAGCGAUAAUGAAGACGAUAUCCUGCCUUCAGGUUUCGGCUCCAGGGUUCGGGGGAAAGGAAUAAUCCAAAUAGGAUGGGCGCCGCAGAGGGAGAUUUUGGCGCACCCUGCAGUUGGGGGUUGUUUGUUUCAUGCAGGGUGGGGGUCUGUCACUGAAACUCUGCAGUAUGGGCACAGCCUCGUUGUGCUGCCUUUCAUAGUUGAUCAAGGCCUGAAUUCAAGGUAUCUGGUGGAGAAAGGGCUGGCUAUUGAGGUGGAGAGAAGUGAGGAUGGAUCUUUCAGCAAAGAUGACAUAGCUCAAUCAUUAAGACGAGCAAUGGUGCCAAAUGUUGAGGAUGAAGGGGAAGCCCUGAGACUCCUCAGGGCUCGUGCUGCUGAAGCUGCUGCUUUAUUUGGAGAUCGAGAGCUUAAUGGCUACUACAUUGAACGUUUUGUGGAGUACCUGAUGAAGACUGAAAAUGGGGUUCAAACUUAGAUGCCGCAAGGGACUACAAGAUGAGAAUCACGUUAUAAUUUACUACUGAUCUUUGGGACUAUAGCAUAUAGCAUGGGACAGGAACUUGUAGCUCCAAAAUGUCAUUUUAUCAGACACCGUAUUUGUAGUGCAAAUUUAAAGCUUUGUAAUCCUCGUUUUAUAUCAAAGAACAACAAGUACCAUGGUGCAAACUUCUGCAAGAUUGAAAGAAAAUUUCAUAUAAACUUUCUAACUACAAGAGUAAGAGACUUGAUUUCCUUAGGUAAGGAAGGCAUUUAUUAGUAAAUCAUGCCAGGAUAGGUAACUCAUAUUCCAUUCAGGAAAACAAAAAAGAGUUUCUAAUUAUCUACUACAAGCGCAAAUAAGUAUUUUUUUGUUCAAAAAAGGAAAAAAUAACAAAAAGAAAUUUACUUGCAUAUCCCCAGAAAAAAUAAAACGCAUAUUUUGUACAGUUUGUUGGUUCAACUAUUUGAAUGACAAUAGGUAGAAUAAAACUCGAUAUCCACGAAUAUCCGGUCCAAUAACAUUAAUAUUGUCCAGUUUGGUAUUGAUAAGAAAUUAUUGACGCGCACCUGUUUUAUUUGGAAUAUUUUUACUGUAGUACUUUUUGUGAUGUGAUGUGUGUGAGAUAAAAAGGUAAUUGGAAAGAUAAAAAGGUGUAUUGGAAAUUGUAAUGAUGAUGUAAGCAGAUAAAAUUGGGGAAAUAAAACACAAUCCAAACAAACCCUAUACUUGAUACCUGAUGUCAUAUAUAUGAGGAUUCACUUUUAUCGUCCAAUAACACAUUUAUUAAUUUUAUAACCCAAUAACAUGUAACUCUAAUCCAACACAAAUGAAGACAAUUAUGAUUAAAAACAGAAGAAUGUUGAUUUAACUAUUCAUUGAAUAUUGGAUUUUUCUCAUGCAAGUUCUAUGGCUUUAUCCAAGUUUAAAACUCAGUGUAAUGUGUUAAUUUAACAUGACGUAUGUCUUGAUUUAAUUCAAUAAAAAUUAAUUUUUCAUUUUUGAACUAUUCAACUUAGUAGAUAGAGGAUACGCGAUGGGUAAUCCGAACCCAUGAAUAAGAGGAUCUGUUAAUAAGAAUUAAAGUCUAUAGAGUUAUCUUAUAGGGUUUGGUAAAAUUAGGCCUAUCAACGGUCCGGGUCUAGACCCAGAUUCGACCCGGAUCCGUCAAUUUUUUAUGGGUCCGGGUAGGGAUAUAAUGCCGUUACCCGAACCCGAAUCCGAAUCCGUUUUGUCAAACAAAAAAACGGGUCGAAUACGGAAUAUAUCAUUCCGGCCCGUAUUUGACCCGUAUCCGAAUAUAAAAUAGAUAUAUAUAUAUAUAUAUACCAAUAAUAUAUCCCAAAUUUAUACCCCAAAUUUACUUCUAUACCCCAAAGGCCCAAACAACUAAAUAUUAUCCACGGACAUGCAGAACCUUUGGCAUAUACAACACCUGUUGCAAAAGCAUGAAUUUGAAUCUAACAAAAAGUAUUUAUCAAUGCUAAACAUUAUAUCUAGAAGAUGUUAAUUAACAUAUGCAAUAUAGCCUAGCUAAGACUUUAACCAAGUGACAACAUUGAAAUAAUACUUGUUGGACAAAAUUAAAUUGACCUUUCUUAAUAAAAAAAAGUAAUACUUUUUUUAAUUUUGUUGUAAAACAGGUUUCAGCUAUUUUUUCGGGUAGACCCGUCGGAUCCGGAUCCGAAACUAGAGUAGAAGACCCGUCGGAUAAACGGGUUGGAUAUGGAACCAGCAUAGUAGUAACGGGUCCGGGUCCGGAAUAAUGAAUUCCGACCCGGGUUCGACCCGUUGACAGGUCUAGGUAAAAUACUCAGAUAUACAAGUUAGAGUUUGGUAAUAGGAAUUUUCAAGGAUACGCGACAAAAAGUUUGGAAACAAAAAUUUUUGAGAGUUUUUGGCAACUCCAAGCUAUCAUACUUUUAUCUUCAGUGAGAAUUAUGCCAAUUACACUUUAUUAUACUCCAUUGCGGAUGCCGGCCCACCUGAGGGCCCCUUGUCUUGCCGGUCAAGCAAAACCCUCCCCUAAAAAAAAUCCUUCUCCUCUCCCACUGCCCAAUUCAUAUUAUUAUGUAAAAUGUUCCAUCUGGAAAAAUCCCAAAUUGAUGCUGUUCCUAAACUAGUAUAGCUACUACUGAAUUCAGCUCUAGCUGGUAAGUUCUCCUUCUGCUGCUUAUGAAAUAAUUUCCCAACUUCCUUAAAAUGCUGCCUAUUUCUACUUCUCCGUUCCCCUUAUAAUGCUUCGUGUUUGAUUGCUUCUUUCUUACGACAGAAUACGAUUAUAAAAUAUGAGUACUUCAUUAAUUCCCAUCUAUUUACUGCGCAAUUCACAAGCGUUGAAAAUGAAAUUCUUUUGUCUUUUUUUUUUUUUUUGGUUUUACUUGUUAUUGUUUCUUGCAGGAUGACCGGAUGGAUAUGUUGGAUUUCUAAUGUAGGGGAUUUUGAUCUCUGACUAAUUGGGCUUUUACAUAUAAGUUUUCUUAAUAUUGAAGUGCUACAUUGCGAUGGCUGCUGUUAGAUUUUCACGUUUAAGAUCACUUUGUUAUUCUGCAAAAUUCGUGGACUCAUUUGACGUCAGACGCACAUCUGCUUUUGGAACCCGAAAUUAUUACAGUAGAUAUUGCAGAGAAUCGGGGCUUAAGUUGAAUCCUAUUUGCAGUGGAUUGGGAAUCACGGGUUUGGACUCUGCUGUUGGUAAUGGUUAUAGUAGGGGAAAGUAUACUAGUCCCUCUGGGUCCAGCUUCUCGAAUUUGGCUAUAAGAAGUAGUGCCCCUUUUGGUGGAGUUGGUCCUAUGUUGAAUUAUCGGUCAUAUUCGUCUAGUACCAAUAGCCAAGAUGGUAGCCCGCAAGUUCCAGCUGCUGCUUCAGGUGAUGGUGGUUCUAGUGCAAGUGAUUGGACGGAGAAAGUUAAAGAGAUAUGGAACUCUACCGUAGAUGCUGUGACAUAUACAGGAGAAAAGGCUAGAGAGGCGUCAAGUGAAGUCACUCCUCAUGUUCAGCAAUUGCUAGAUACACAUCCGUAUCUGAGGGAUGUGGUUGUUCCUGUUGGUGGUACUUUGAUGGGGACAUUAUUAGCUUGGAUGGUUUUGCCAAGUGUUUUGAGGAGAUUUCAUAAGUACUCAACACAAGGUCCAGCGGCUUUGUUAUCUGGAAGCUCAUUGUGGGGGCCCGUUCCUUAUGAGAACAGUAUUUGGGGUGCUUUGGAGAAACCAGUUCGAUAUCUUGUAACCUUCAUGGCAGUUUCUCAGAUGUAAGAUAUCCAAGUAGUUGUAUCUCUUUCAUACCUCUGUUUUUUGUAAUUGAGGUCCUAACAAUUUUUUUUACUGUAAUUUUUUUUUUGUUUAAUUUGUGCAUGCAGUGCUGUCAUGGUGGCACCAACAACUAUCGCAGCACAAUACAUUGCACCAGCUUGGAGGGGUGCAAUUAUUCUUUCAUUUAUCUGGUUCCUGAAUCGAUGGAAGACUAAUGUCAUUACUCGAGCUUUGGCUACUAAGAGUGGAGUUGACAGAGACAAUUUGUUAACCUUGGAUAAAAUCUCUUCUGUUGGUUUAUUUGUCCUUGGAUUGAUGGGUUUAUCUGAGGCAUGUGGAGUGGCUGUACAGUCUAUUCUAACUGUAGGAGGCAUAGGAGGUGAGUUUUGCACAGCUAAUGUUUUUGCUGUUUUUUCUGUAGUGAACAGAUUUUUGUCAGUGUAGACACUUCAGUGUCAAUUUCUGGAAAUGCAGAUUUUCUAAGCGUUGAUAAGGACUUACAUUUACUUGCAUUCUAUGGUCAUUCCAGCCAAAUAGUUUGAUCUUGUCCAUGUUUAUUUGGAAUUACUUCUGAUAUCUCUAUUCAGGAAUUUGUUUGAGAAUUUGCUGAACAAUAAAGGUUUAUGUAGGUAGAUUUUUUUUUUUUUGGGAGCUCACUUUCCGAUUUUAUUCAAGUCAUGUUAUCUUCAAGGAAGUAUUCUAUGCAUCCUUUUUAUGUUGGUUAGAUUUCUGAUAUUCCUUUGUAGCUUUUGGCUUUUAAGGGAUGUUGAAGCUGCCAAGUGUUUGUUAGUGUUCCUAUAUCAUUUGUUGGCUACUUCUUGAAAAUAGAAAGUUCUCUUACAUAAGAGCACCUUUUCACCUGACCUCUCCAAGAAUAUACUAUAGACAAUGUAGACAUUUGACUUUGGUGUCCAUUUUUCCAUUCCAUUUGUGCCUUAGUUUUUAACUUUCUAGUUCUAAUUAGGAUUACUUCAUGAAAAAACUUCUUAUUUUCAGUUAUCGAGCUACAACAGCUCUGAAUGCGUUGUUCUUGGAUUAAGCCUCCUGCUUCUGUCAUUGGACCGACCUGUCCCCUUAUUGGUAUUUUAUUGAAAACCAUCUUUUUUAAUAUUUGAGCAACUGUAAUUUCUGUUGGACCUCUUAGCAUCAUACAUCCGGCCUUCUAGAAGAUAUUUCAAGGUCAAGAACUUGGUAUCAGGGGAAGGUCUGAUAGGGAUUAUUGUACAACUGCUUAUGAAUGUAGUGGAAGCUACAGGUUGUAGUCACUAAGAAAGAACUUGGUAUCAGGGGAAGGUCUGAUAGGGAUUAUUAUACAACUGUUUACGAAUGUAGUAGAAGCUACAGUUUGUAGUCCACUAAGUUAUGCAAUGGUUGGAUUAAAUGGUCAUUAUUUUUUUUAUCAAAGUAAAAGCAGAAUGAAAGGCAAAGAGCUUGCAUUGGUUAUUGCAAAAAAACAGCACUAAGACUUGUGACUAUUUUUAUUCAGCUGUCCUGAUUUUGAAAAUUCUUAUUAGAGGUUAAUUGUUUUUUUUUUCCCAAUUGGAGGGGAAGAAAUGCUUGCAUUCUGUAUUUUUAAACAAGAGUUAUGGUUAGGUUUAAGAAGCAUUGAAAAUUGAUAUCAUCAUGCUUUGACUUGCCAUGCAGGAGUGGCUACUGCUUUUGCUGGUAGAGACAUCCUUGGGAAUGUCCUCAGUGGGCUAUCUGUACAGAUCUCGCGACCCUUUUCAAUAGGAGAUACGAUAAAAGUAUGUCCAAUCUAUUGUUUAUUCGUACUCAUGUUCUGAUUUUUUCUCCUUGUAUGUGUAUGAUGUGUUUUAAUUUGUCUGUUUAGUUGCUUUUAACCUAUGUACUUAUCUAUCCAUUUAGCCAACUAUUGUUUCAUCUAGCCAUCUGUUGAUAAUUCUUCGUCUCUCUCCAACAAGUUAAGACACCCAGCUUAAAUUUGAUUGGUUUCAUUUUCACUUCUAGAUAUUGUCUGUUGGAGAAUGGUAUCCUAUGCUUGGAUAGAAAUGAAUAAAGAUCCUCUUGCAGUUGUUGGACAGGCUCAUGUCUUUACUGUUUCAGCACUAUUAACAAUUUUAACUAGUUUGUUUCUUUUAAUAAAGUACGGGAUGGAGUAUUUGUUAUGUGCUUAUGGUAUAUGUGGUUAACUGACUCUCAAAGAUGUCGGAAAAUUUCUUUUCCUUUGUUUUUUUUUUUGUUUUAAGAUCUGGGGUCACAAUAUUAUGUUUGAGAAAAUAUGAUAUAGGUAUACUUUCUUCUAUGUGCAACGUUCCUGACUAAAGAAGAGAAGUGGAAACAUCAGUCCCAGCAGAGUGCUUAGGCAUUUUCAAGUCAUGGGAUGGCGUGUCUAGCCUUAACCUUUGCUGUAAAAGUGGUAAUCUCUUCUGGAAAAUCAUGUAGAAUUAAUCUUAACCCAGUUUGAGAUCAAUGUGCACGGACAUAAUUUAGUUCUUUUGCUACAAAUCAUAGGAAUGUUUGCUCAAGGUCAUGUAAUUUUUAUGCCAUUGUUACUGCAUAAACAAUAGGCAUAAACAAUAGAUGACAUAGUUGACAACCCUUGAUUGUGUUUAAAAUCUCAGUCAAUAACAAACACCACAUUAAGAAUUUCUUUGGGCUUCUUUUUUGCUCAAAAUCCAAGUAGAUCUUUACCUUCUUAUUUGUUCCUCCUUCUUUGCCCUGGUGAUCCUGCUGUCGCGGAGUGGUUUUCCAUUCCUCUGCACAACUUGAAAAUUAUAUUUUGAUUGACUGGUUUUGUCAACGUUGUGAUAGAAGUUGGCUUUUGAUCGUAUUUUAGAAGCUUGUGCAUAAUUUUCCUUCUGCUACCACUGUUGCAGGCAGGUUCCGUGGAAGGUCAGGUGAUAGAUAUGGGUCUAACAACUACAUCAUUGCUGACUUCAGAAAAAUUUCCUGUGAUAGUCCCAAAUUCUCUUUUUGCCAGUCAGGUGGGUCUUAUUUGUUUUAGAAUUUUCAAAACCUGCAUUUUGGUCUUUUUCUUUUCUGGGUUUUCAUCGUUGCUCUGCAACUAUAUGCUUGUGAGUUUUUGAGGCUUUUUUUCACUUGAAAGUGUUGGUUGGAGAAUUCUUUGUGGACACAAUUACGCAUAAUUUUGCUGCUACUGCUAGGAUGCUGUAGAUUUUGUUGAAGUGUUUCUGGCAGUCAACGUUUUGAAUUCUUGAUUCUCAAAAAUUUCAACUUGCAUUUUUCAAGUCUCAUCACCUAAUUGGGCUCCUGUAACUGUCUCAUGGGAAAUUGCCUAGCUGCCUAAAAGGUUGCACUGCAUUCUCUUUGUAACUGGCUGUAUUUUCUUUACUACUAUUCUAAAUCAGGAUUACCUCUGAAACUAGAGUCUCUUCAACUCAGUUUCUGGAGUGGUUUCUCAUUGCCUGUGUGUGAUGAAAUGCUUAGCUGGCCAAUGAUCCCUCCUUCAUUCAAGCCUCAAUUAAUAUUUUUUUUUAGGUUAGCUUCAAUUAAUUUUACCUUGGCAUUGCAUGAGAAAUGACUUUCUUUAUUGUGUUUCAUUUAGUCUUGUUCAAGUUCAAGUUCAACUUCAUGCGAAUUUUCUUCACUAAUGGUUGCUUUAAGUAGGUGAUUGUAAAUAAAUCGCGUGCUCAAUGGCAAGUCACAACGAAAAUCCCUGUCCAAAUUGGUGACUUUGAUGUGAUUCCAAAGAUUUCGGAAGAUAUAAAGAUUAUGCUCAGAUCCAAUUCGAAUGUGUUCUUGGAAAAGGAAGCACCAUAUUGUUUCUUGUCUAGGGUAGAAAGAUCAUUUGCAGAACUUACUAUUGGGUGCAAUCUAAAAGCGAUGGUAUGCUCGCUUUCAUAUUGUCUUAUCUUAGAGCUUUACAUCUCAGUUCAUGUAGCUUUGUUAAUCGGAUUCAUGCGAUGCUUUUAUUCACUGUUGAUUUGAUAAAAACCGUUAUUGCUAUUCCAAAUGUAGGGUAAAGAACACUUCUUUGCGGCUCAGCAGGAAGUUCUUCUUCAGUCAGUUAAGAUAAUCAAGCAACAUGGCGCUUCACUUGGUAAUUACGCGGAAGAUACUAGCUACUAGCAAAUUAGCUGUAAAAAGAAACCUUACCACUGAUUUUAGGCCAUUACAGUUUUAGUUUGCUGCAUGUUCGACUCAUUGUAUAGAAGUUUGUUUACACUGGAUUCCGAAGGGUAGGGUACGAUAAAAAUCUGUGCUUUUAGGAACAACGGCGCUAUGGUGCCAUUUCUGCUUGAGAAGAAAAUUUACAUUAUCAACACGUUUUUCGUUGAUACAAACUAUUGCAGAUGCUCCUUCCCAGCAUGCAAUUUUUGUACUGAAGUUUGUAAAUCGUUGAUUGGUGCUUAAGUUUUUUUUUUUUUUUUUUUUUAAAGAAAUUGUUCUGGAGCAUAGUCAAUAUCAACCAAUUGAUGACGCUUAAAGGGCAUGGAAGUUACAAAAAUGCACUGGCGGAAUCACAGAUUGAGAGUUGGGGGACAAGACUAUGAUCGAUGUACGCGUGAAGGGAUAUCUUUAGAUUUUUCUUUAAAAACUUGGGGUAGGAAACUCUAAUUUUUACAAGGAUGUAAUUGAAAACUCUUAAUACUUUAAGGACAUUCAAAGAUGUUCCCAAAAUCUUGGUGGCAUGAUCUCAAAGUGAAUAGCUUUACCUUUUUUUUUUUUUUUUUUUGGGUCUAACAUUAACAAUCUAGACUGCUUCUAUACUAUGGGAGAAGGGGGAAUCUACACUACUAUACUAUGGCAUUGGCAACUCAGUGUCAACUUCUAUAUUUAAACUCCUCUUGUGCAUUAUUAAUAUGGGAGCACAUGGAUCCUUAGUACCACUUAUCAGUGACAAUUCAGUGCCUAUUUUUAUAUUUAUGUCAAGUAUUUUAUUAUUUAAAUUGUUAUGUGCUAUUUAUUUAAAUUUUCUUUAUCUUCGUGUGAUAAAUGGGACUGACACUGAAUUUGACACCAAGUAGUGACACAAGAGGAUGUCAACUGACUAUAGGAGAGGGGGAAUCCACCUAAACUUGUAGGGAGUUCAAGAGUGAAUCUUUAAACUAAACAAGUGCAUUACUAUUUUUUAAGAAAUGAAGCACAAAGAUUACCUAUAAUGCACUAGGGGGUUUAAACCCUUGAUUUAAUGCACAGAGAGCUCUUAGCCACUCGACUAGAGCCCAAUGGUUCAAAAUUAAGGAUACGACUAAUUGAUUCUAAGGUCGAUACAUAAUCCAGCAUGUUCUUAUCUUCUCCAGCAGUUGCAAACUGGCAUCUACUUUUGAAUCCCAUUAUUC